rnacentral:lncRNA from 1 species
UUGUUGAAACCUCAACCGGAUGAGUCACUACUGCUGUACUUAGCGGUUUCGGACAUGGCGGUCAGCGCCGUCCUAGUCAGAGAAGAAAGUGAGGGCCAGUUGCUAGUAUACAACGUCAGCAAAGCACUUCUCCCAGCUGAAACACGCAACCCAGACAUGGAGAAACUGGCGCUCGCCCUUAUCACAGCCUCAAGAAAACUGAGAUUGUACUUCCAGGCCCACUCAAUUCUAGUUCUCACCAACUUCCCACUGAAGCAGGUGAUGCAUAAAACAGAUGCAUUAGGACGCAUGCUAAAAUGGGCAAUCGAGCUCAGUGAAUUCGAUCUAACGUUCUGACCUCGACACGCCAUCAAGGGCCAGGCCCUUACUGAUUUUAUGGUUGAGUUUGUCAAAGCCCCAGAAAUGGAGGCGAUAAUGGAACCAGUCGAGCCCCCAAUAUGGAAACUAUUCGUAGACUGGUCCUCAGGAGAGACUGGCUCAGGGGCAGGGAUCGUAUUGGAAAGCCCGGAAGGUCACAAGCUAAAUUGUGCAGUAAGUCUGGCUUCAAAGCCUCGAACAACGCUGCUAAAUACGAGGCCCUUCUGUCAGGUCUUAGACUUGCUUAGAAGAUGCGUGUCAGAAAGCUCCUGGCGAGCAGUGACUCUCAACUUAUAGUGAACCAGGUCAAUGGAAAUUUCGCAGCCAAAGAUGGUAGCAUGAUUGCAUACUUGAAGUUGAUUCUGAACCUAGAUCCUCAUUUUGAAAGGUUCGAACUGACUCAAGUCCCCCUUCUAGAGAAUGUACAUGCAGACGCCCUUUCAAAAUUGGCCAGCAGCAAGGAUUCAAAGUUGCUAAAGGUCGUUCUUAUUGAGUACUUAUCAAAGCCCUCCACCUCCGGAGGUGAAGAGAUACUAUAGAUAAAAGGCACCCCAUUGUGGAUGCAACCUAUCAUCGCCUACCUGAAGGAUCAAACACUACCUUCUUCUAGAAGCGAGGCGAGGAAGUUAAGAAGAAGGGAUGCACACUUCGUCCUGCAAGAAGAUACUCUUUACAAGAGAGGCUUCGUCUCACUGCUUCUUCGAUGCGUGAGAGGUAAAGAGGCCACCUACAUACUUAGGGAAAUCCAUGAGCAAAUCUGGGGAAAUCACUCCGGAGGAAUGGCUCUGGCACACAAGGUUCUCCUUCAAUGCUACUUCUGGCCGACCCUGAAAAGGAAUACUUGCCAGUUUGUCCAGAAAUGUGUCAAGUGCUAGCGCUUCUCAAACAUACAAAGACAACCUGCUCAGAGCCUCUCCGUAGUAACCAGCCCUUAGCCAUUCGCCAAGUGGGGCAUUGACUUCAUUGGUCCACUCCCAAAAGGAAGAGGAAGUGCAAAUUUCGCCAUUGUCGCCAUUAACUACUUCACUAAGUGGGUCGAGGUAGAACCUCUUGCCAGGAUCAACAAGGUGAAUACUACCAAAUUCAUCUAGAAGAACAUCAUUUGUAGGUUUAGCAUUUCCCACUCUUUAGUGUCUGACAAUGGAAGGCAGUUCGACAACAGGAAGAUGCGAGACUUAUGCGAUGAACUAGACAUAAAGAAGGACUUCUCAACACAUCAUCACCCCCAAGCAAAUGGGCAAGUUGAAGUAGUGAAUAAGACUAUCAAGCACACCCUGAAAAGGAAGCUUGACACCUUAAAGAGGGCCUGGGUUGACGAACUCCCCCACGUCCUCUGGGCUAUCAGAACUUCUAGCCGAACUGCAACAAGUGAAACACCAUUUUCCAUAACCUACGGAGCCGAGGCCAUGAGUCCGGUCGAGGUCGGGGUCCCAUCACAUCGAUGGAUACGCUUCAAUGAGAUCAGCAACGACGAGGCUCGAAUAAGCGAACUGCACCUCCUUGAGGAAAUGAGGGAUGCCUCCCAAGUGAACUUGACAAAGUAUCAUCGAAAGAUGACCCGAUACUAUAACUCCAAGGUCAGAAGCAGAACUCUUCGCCUAGGCGACCUCGUCCUCAAAAAGGUCUUCCAAUCUUCAAAACCAACUGGGUUAGUAGUGUUUGGCCCGAAUUGGGAGGGCCCUUACUGCAUCCGUAGGGAAUCCCGACCUUGUACUUUUGAAAUUGAAGACAUGGCAGGAAAGGCACUGCCUCAUCAAUGGAACAUCGAACACUUGAGGAAGUACUAUCAAUGAUGACCCUUUGUUCCGAUCCGAUCUCAAUAUGGUCUAAUGAAUCGAUUGUUCUGAUAUGGUCUCAGUUGUAAGUUCCCUAGCUUACUAAGCGCGGGAAUUGUCUUGGUAAAGUGUGGUGUAAUUUAUCUCAAGUAAUGAAACUUCGGUUCUGUGCCACAUCGGUUAGUAAAUAGUUUCCUCAGUCCUUUGAUAUGUUUACUUAAGUGAUCCGAUCUUCAAUUAUUAACUGAUUAACGUUAAGCGGCUCUUCAUGUUUGCUUAAGUGGUCCGCUUCAUAUUAACUUAAGUGGUCCGAUCUCAAAUUGUUAACCGAUUAACGUUAAGAGUCGCUUCAUGUUCGCUUAAGUGGUUCAACUUAUAUUAACUUGAGUGGUCCGAACCUCAAUUAUUAACUGGUUAUUGUUACGAGGCGCAUAGUCUCAUAUUUGUCAUUCAUAGAAGUAUAAACAGAUCCAAAAGGUAAAAAAAAAUUUUAAAAAAAAUGCAGAAGCACAAAUACUUAACAAAAAAUUUCAUUUCAUUUAAUGAAUUGAAGUAUAAGAAGGCCGAAGCCAUUACAAAAGAUGGCCCUAUUCUACUAGAGGGACUUCUGCAUCGGCCGCCUCCGAAGCUUCUUCAGCAAGCCUAUCAGGCCGAUCUCCAGUUAGUCCCCCGAACUCUGCCUCCGAUGAGGAGAUGUCCAAAGUGGGUAUACCUCUUUCAGUUGACCCAAUAAGCUUUGAGCACUCUAAGAGGCCCAAAAAUUGGUGAAGUCGUCAUACAGGGGAUGGUCUUCAAAGUGGUCAAUGAAGUUCAGAACUACUACCUCUCCUGCAGACUUCAACUCCUCCUUCAAAGAGGCAAUCUCCUCUGACUAAACCUCUGCCUUCUACCUCAGCUCUGCCUUCUCUUUAUUUGAGGCCUCCAGAGCCUCGGUGGCGAGCUUGUGGUGCUCGUUGGCGUGAUCAAGUCGCCGAGUCACAACAGCCACUUGGCACUCCACCUCGUAUAACUCCUUCUUCAACCGCUCCACUUCUGCUUUGGCAGUAGUUAGCUAGGCCUUGGCCUCCGUCUUUCCCUCCUCCGCCUGCUUUUCCUUGGCCUGGGCCUCUCACACGGCAUCCCUAUAGUGCAUCGCCUCCUCAAGGCGCUUGGCGAGGUCCUCCCUCUUGGAGUUCAGAUCCUUCACCAAACCCUCAAGUUGGAUGCUUGUACUCAAGGCCCGAGCCACGCAGGCGCUAUUUGCAGCCACCAAGUCCUCAGCUGUGCACGAGGCGGUGUGGUCCAUCCACUCCUCGAUCCAGUAUUUGCUGUAGACCACCGCCAGUGCAGCUAUUUCUGGAGGAAGGGCCUCCAACACUUCCCUCACUAGCUCCCCCGAAUUUGUGCCCAAAAGGUCGACCUCCUUAGAGGGACGGGGCAUCUUCCUCUUCUGCUACCCCGACACUUGAGCAAUUAGCACAGCAGCAAGUGGUGUUGUAGCCGGGGCAGUGGCAGCCUCAGAUGGAGCGGGCCUCUUCUCUGGAAUGGCCACCCCAGUUGGAAUUGUGGUUUGCUUCAGAACUGGGGGUGGCCUCGCCACAGUUGGGCGUUUUGGAGGGGCGGCGCUCUUCUUGCCCUUCUUCCGAAGGUCAGCCUCUGGGUCUUUCGGUACCUCCUCAUCCGUCGGAGGCUGAAGCCUCUUACUGACGUCCACCAAAUCCUCCAUUUGCUUUUUGUAAAAGGAAGAGGAGGCCUUCAAUGCACGUACCUCUACCAUCAUCCUCUGGAUGGUUUUAAAGUCGGGACGCACAGGCAUUUUCUUAUUAAAGUUGUAUGUAAAGAACGAAUUACGAAUUAGUACAAGUAUUAGGAGUUCGGAAUAAAGGAUAAAGACUUCGGUCCAGUUACCUUGGGAUGCUAUCAGGUCUUGGGUAACGAAGUGAAUGUUCUUUUGGAUCAGCCUAUAGUAAGACCUCUUCUUUUGAGGCAGCUGAUAGAUGAUGCAGAUGGUAUCGAAGUCCUCCAAUGACAGCUCGCACCGAGGAAGAGCACCUACAAAAGAAAUGCAAAUAUUAGGCACGAUUCGAACCGAAGAGAAAUAUAAAGAAAAACAACUACUAUAUUCACUAAGUGUUGAAUACUUCGUCGGGACCGUAAGAGGCGCCAGGGGGUCCCCCUCCAUCGUGUCUCAUCGCCCUGCGGCCCAGCACCACAAGCUCUUCCAUUCUUUGAUGGAGCUCGACAAAUCGAGCACGAAUGGAGUGUGGGAACCCCAUGAAGUAAGGUAGUACCACCCCCGGGUCUUAUCCUCCCGACAGUUACCUUAGGUAUGUAAAGAGUCUGGAAGACGGAGAGGAGCAUCUCCACCCCUAAUGACAUCUCUUUCCACAACAUCUAGGAGCCCACCAUUUGGCUCUAGGAAUUCGGAUUGAGUUACGUCGGGGCUAGCCCAUAGGAUCUAAGCACCAUCCUAAAUAAUGAGUGAAUUGGCAGCCUAAGUCCGGCCCUAAGGAUUGCCUCGCUAAUUGCCACAACCCGGCUUAGGGUAGCAGGCCCUCUCUUCGGGCCCGGGGAGGAUCCAAUCUAUGCUAUCAGGGAUCCUAUACUCUACCCUAAUCUCCUCAGGUCGGCCUCUCUUAAUUUAGAUGGGUAGUCCGAUGCCCCCCCAGUGCACAGAAGUAUCUGCUGGGCUAUCUGGUUGCUUCCAUAUAUUUUUCCUCUAUUAUCGCCUCGGCUAUUUCUGAGGAGGUCGCCACAAUGGGCUCGUCCAUCCUCACUAAUUCUAACCCCAUCCCCGAACCAAAACUCCCCUCAGAAGCUAUUUUUCAGAAGUUAAAAAUCCUAAAAGGUACUGAAACUUACGAGUUUGAAGGUUUUCCUGGCCGAAAAUGGUGUAAAGUUGCCGGAUGUUGGUUUUUCUCGCCGGAGGUUCAAGUUUCUCGUCGAAAUUACUUAGAAAACGCCGAAAAUCGCAAAUGACUUGAGAGCAAAGUAUAGUGUUUGUUUCGCAAGGGUAGAAAGCUUGAGAAAAGCUCAGAGUCCGCUUUUUAUAAAAAGACUCAUCCGAUCUCCACCAUUGAAUUCAAAUGCGAUCAAUCUAAGCCAUUCGUCGCAUCUUCAAUCUAGGCCGUUGAAAUGAAAUGCCAGAUUUGAUCUACGUCCAAGAUGUCGCUGUGACCUUCACGCUCGCUUAAAACGCCUCACAUCGGUCACCACCAGUCGUCAAUAAUAAGUAGCUGCAGCAGCCUUUUAGGAGAAUGGGCAUGUCACCCAACUGUCACCUUGAAAAUACGCAACAGUUGUCAAAUCAUUUAACGCCUGCAUCGCCUCAAAUGGAGCUCCUCACCCGACUUUACAAAGCUUAGAUGCACCCGACGCGAGAUCCCCUAUGGGUCAUCGCCUCGGUAACUGCGUUCUCUCCUAAACUUUACAAAGUUUUAGCCAUCUCCCAAUGCGUCGUCCCACGUGGGUCAGCGCACAGGUGGCAAAUGAGCUCUUCAACUUUACAAAGCUUAGACGCACCCGACGCGAGGUUCCCUGUGGGACAUUGCCUCGAUAGCUGCGUUCCCUCCUAAAUUUUAUGAAGUUUUAGUCAUCUCCCAACGCGUCGUCCCAUGCGGGUCGGCGCACAGGUGGCAGAUGAGCUCCUCAACUUUACAAAGUUUAGACGCACACGACGCGAGGUCUCCUAUGGGUCAUUGUCUCGGUAGCUGCGUUCCCUCCUAAGCUUUACAAAGUUCUAAUCAUCUCCCAAUGCGUCGCCCCAUGCGGGUCAACGCACCGGUGGCAGAUGAGUUCCUCACUCAACUUUGCAUAGCCUACACGCGCCUGACGCGAGUCCCCUGUGGGUCAUCGCCUCAGUCGUCGCGUUAUCCUCUUUUCCUACUAAUCAUGCUGUCUUGCAACGCUUCGACCUCACAUCGGUUAUUGAUUCCCUUAUGCAGUAACGAAACUUUGACGCAUCUGCGUAAGAGCAUGGCUUCGGUUACUGCAAAAGAUCGAUCCCCAAGCUCCCACGAGUCGCGGUCCCCAGUACCGAGACAUACACAUCCAGUCAGGAAAGCAAAUCCACCCAUUAUAUAAAUAUUUAUACCUGGACUUGGGGGACCACUAUUAUACCCCUAUUAUCUGAACCGCUUUGGAACGCCAACCACCACAUAUUCCGACCUAAUAGACGCCCAUCCGAAGUGUUUCCGAAGUGAUAUCACCUAUGUCAACAACCUAAUAGCACACUACGAGAUAUAGGCGAUCCUGCUGAACUGACCGAAGCUCCUCGCCUCCAAGGCCGAGGCCAAGUGGACCCCUGUCAGAAGAUCCGUCGCCAAUUUUAGAAAAAGAUUUGUGUCAAGAUCCUCUCUGCACCUAAGGUUUAAAUUGAUUUGACGUCUCCAUGAGGCUAGUUGAUGUGACUUAUCAACUUUAUGUCAAUUCAACUCAGGAAAGACAAGCUGCCCGCCCACUCUACAGACGCAGCUGAUUGACGCCUAUGAGCGGACGCCUCAUACCGUCAGAUGUAGAUACGUGUCCCACAUCUAACGGUCCAUCCCACAUAUAAAUACCCAAGGUUUGGCAAAAGGUAAAGGUAAUGAAACUCUUACUACAUAGCACUCCAUAACAAGUUUAUAUAUUUUCUCCUCCCCCUUAUUAGUAUUUUGCACAACCCCUGGGUACUGUUCCGACCACCUAAACCUGACUUGACCGUCGGAGUGUAUACGGUCGCCGCCACCCUCGUUGGUUCCGACCGUGUGCGUCUGACAGUGCGUUGAUUGUGCGCAGGAAAAAAUACGUGGAGUAGCUAUCGAUUGACCACGUAGAAGGUCCAAUUUUCGAGGUCAACACAUAUUUUCAAGGAAGACGGGUGGGUAUUUUUCUAAUCUUUUUAUCGGUUCAAGAACUACUUUUCCAUAACGCAAGUCCCUCUCAUUUGCACAACUUUCAAGCAAGUGUUUGUAUGAUUAAGGAGUAACGGGUAUAUUAAACGGUACAUUUCUUGAAGGAACUUAAGGCUUCUUUGAGUUUUCUCUGUUUGGAAAGGGAAAUUAAGUGGACAUUUUCAAGAUUCCAUUGCUGAGUUUGGGGUUUUCAGUGGAAAAUCUUUGGGUUUGCGGCUUAGGGAGACCCAUCAAGGAAUUUGGGCUUAAUUUGCAGUUUUUAUGUUCGAUAAUUGUCCGGAAGGAGUGAUGCUUGCGGGAAUGCUGCAUUGAGUAAUUGGAGAAUUGCCAUGAUUUAGUGCAUUUGAUGUUCGAGAGGUUUGAUAAAAGAACCCUAAUUGCAAUACAUGUAAAUUAUUGCACAGACCAGCCGAAUCUCAAACAGCCAAACCAUAAAUACUUUACCAAUUUACUAGCAUCUGAAUAUAUUCUUCUUUCUGCAGCUUGAGCUUACUUGUCAGUAAAAAAAAUGGUAGAAAGAUUUUUCUUCACAGGCAAAACCAAUUCUCAGCCACCGAUUCAACCAGACUCGGUCAUUCUUAUUUCUGGGCCGCCUUCCUCGUAAUAACAUAUCAUUUUUUUCCUGCUUUUACACACUGAUAGAAUCUCAAGCGCUCAGUUAUUUGCUUACUUUUUAUGCAGUGGCAAAACCUCACUGCUUUUCCAAUUCGCAUUCAACUCGGUACUAGAGAAAAAUGGAACCGUGGUGAUCAUCUGCAACCGGCGCAGAUUAGAAACCAAUCCCCCCUUUCUCUCUCAGGUACCCCUAAACCCACUUAUUCUCAAAGAUUUUAAUUUAUUAAUCAUUUAUUAUACAUAAUGGAUUUUUACUUUUCCUAUUGAGUUUGUUCCGAGACUGCAAUUUCAGGGCGUUGAUCCAUCUUCUGACAUAUUUCAGCACAUUCAGAUGAAGUAAGACAAAUAAUCAAACCUCAUACUGUAUCAAAUGCAGCAUUAAUCCAGCAAUUAGUUAAUUAGUCUUGCCAAGUCUGUUUAUUCUUGAGAUUUUUCUAGUUUGUACUUGAUUGUUGUUGAUGCAGUAUGUUUACCUUCUUGAAGGUAUGUGGAUGACGAUGAAGGGAUCAAGAAUUAUUUUGCUGCAUUUCACAUACACGAUAUAUUUCCUGUUUCAGUUAUCAUCGACAAUUUUGCAGAUUUCUUUGAUGGGAGGUGAGAUUUUCUCAAUCCAUUGUUUGACCGUAUUGGGGUGAUGUGGUUGUGAUAUAUGUACAUUUUUCUCACAUUGUAUGAUUCGAAGUGUUGUUUGUUUUAUUUCGAUUUUGUUGUUAAUUUCUCAUAAGGAAUUGUCAAGAGAGAUACAACAAUCCUCGGGGAAGAGACUUGGCAAUGACCCGGACAUUAGCUCUUUGUCAAAAUGCCAUUAAUCAUGCCAAGUGAGAAAAUUGUUACAGCCAGUGUUCAGUGCAGUACUCGAUUCUUCAUCAUUGUUGUUGACUGUAGUAUCACCAUUCGAUUAUUUGACUUCAAUCGUUCACAUUACAGAUCAAAGGGUCCUUGUAAUCUUUUAUUGUCCGAUACGCACCAAGGUGAUUCCCCAAGGUUGCUCUAUAUUUAUAAGAGAUGGAUCUCCUGCAUUUACACAAUCAGAGGUGAGAAUCAUGGUGAAAUUGCAGCAUAGCAAUUAUGAAUGGCUGCCCUUACUAGCUUAUGUCUCAUCAUCGAUUUUUUGCUGCAACUGUACUCUUCUCCUUAUCGUAAAUAUAACUUUUUUCUUCUUAUAUCUUCUCUUUUGAGUACAGAAGGUGAUGGUUCAGGAUCAUUUAUUCUCAAGAAUAACUCAGAUACUACAAGAGCAGAGAGGAUGAGAACUGCCAAGUAUUCCAUAGCACUUCAGUACUUGGUACUGGAGGGUGUUACAGAAGAUGAAGAACAAGAGUAAAUUUUCCAAUUAAUUACUCAUUUUUAAUUAGUGGUUCUGUUUAGAGUUUACGCUUUGUCUACGGCCUAAGUACUCUGUUUAUAUCGAUGGAGAAGCUCUAACUUUGCCAAUAUCUUUCUUGUUUCUAUUUGUUUGUUUCUUAAUUUAUCAUGGUAGCAGGGUAAAGGUAAGGGAUUAUAUGCUUGUAUUCUCAUUCAUGCUUCAAACUUAGUGCUUAAGUCCUGACUAAGAUUAGUUCAUAGGUUGUCCUAAAAAUUAUGAACUCCUUCAAUUACAAAAUGAACUUACUGGCAAACGCCUCUUUGAUAAUCUGAUAGCAGAAUUCUUCUCCAAGAUCAUUAUCAAAGGUAAAUUAUGUGAUUGCAAAAAUUAAAAUAAAUAAAUCAACGUUUCUUGAUACAUUUCAAUAUCACAAGCUUCUCCCCCCUCUUCUUUUAAGUGAGUUAUUCCUGAAAUUAUCGCUCUUUUGCUUUUGUAAACUACGAAAUUCUUUUUGAACUUUCAUUUUCACUUGCUGGCUUCUAAUUGUACCCUUAAGUAGCCAUCAAAAUCUUCUCUAAACAUUGCAAAAACAGCAACAAGCUCAAAAUCACAACUCUGCUCUUCUCGAGGAAAAACUAUCAAAUGCUUUAGUGGAUGGACGGAAUUUUCUCUAUUUUAUUGUAAUGCGGCUGUAAGGGCAUACAGCUUUUAAUAUUGUACACCAAACAAAGUUCUUUUCUAAAGGGUUAAACCAUUUGUACACCACAGUCCCUUCACAUGUUGAGGGGGGCCAACAUGAUUUAAAAAUUUGUGGGUCCAUUCAUUCUUAGGGGACUAUGUGGGCGUACAUGUUUUAAGGCUAUACACCAAACAAAGUUCUCUUUUAAAUACCCAUAAUUUCAGUACAAUAAAGCUACUUAGCCAAGCUUAAAAACAAGAGAGUGAAAAGACAAACUGAUAUGCUAGAGAAUGAUUGGGUAUUUUUGUUUUAAUUUUUCAAGUUGUUCAAUCAUGCAUUGACACGUGUCCCAUCUGAAUUUGAACCUGAAUGUGUAGUAUAAUUGAUUUCAGUAAACCAGAAAUUAAAAUAGAAAACAACAAAUUUAAAAGUAUUAAUUUGAAAGUUUAAAACUUAAAAUUAUUUAUUUUCCAACAAAGACAAACCCAUAAACAUGCAACCCCUCUAGGCUCUAAUUGUCAAAAUCAGCAUCUACAGCAAUAUGUUUGUACAAUAGUAAUAAACUUCGGAUAAUUGAUUGCAAAAUGACGCAACCCAAGGGAAAGUAUCAAUUUUAGUAUUUAUGCUUCCAGUUUCCGCGCUUGGGCUGCAUAUGCUUCAUGUAUUAUUUUAGCAUACCAGAAAUGAAAGAGUAAAUGAGAGAACGCCACAGUGGAAAGUCUAUAAGAUAUUUGCAUGUUCCCCACAAACGAUAUAGAACUUACGAAUUCAAAUGAAAAUUAGAAAGUUGGCAAGUUUCAUUCCAAUUGAGAUUAUUGUUUGCUAAUUAUAGGUUAAGCCCCUGUUGGUGCACAUUAUUUGAGAAAAUAAUACAUUUUUUCCAUCAAAUCAGUUUACAAUUUUUGACUUCAACACUCUAAGGUAGGACCCAUGAUGUGAUGUUUAAAAUGCAUUUUUGUUGGGAAAAUGUGGAACAAACGGGGUCUAAGUCUUCUCCUAGAAUUUAUGGGAGAGAGAGUCCGAAUGAACUUGAAUAAUUUCUUAAAUAUAACAAUUAACAAACUAUAUUGUGUUCUGAACUUUUUGUCAAGAAGCGUGUGAAACUUAUUACAAAAAUUCAUUGAAGAUGACCUUUUGAUUAGAAAAUGUAAAAGGAGGCCAUUCAGAAAGGCUUUUUUUUAAAGAUAUUCCUCGAGAGAGAAGCUGAUGCAAUCUCUAUGCAUCUAUAGGUAGAGUAGAUGCCCAACUAAAUAUAAUCGUUUACACUCCCCUCACAUGGAAGGGGCACACCCAUAAUAAAUUAUAUGCGAACCCCCUCAAUUUGAGAAGAGCGUAAAUGAUUAUAUAUACUAAAAGUGUACAAAUAGACUAAUCCAAAAAACUAUUGAAUUCAUAAGGGCAUAAGGUUCUCAAUGUUUGUUGGCUAUGUACAAUGACAAUCAUAAUUUUCAAACUUUUUCUACAUACUUCUUUUUAAACAUACAUUUACACAAUAAAAUAUUCUCCAUACAAAUUCAAAUUUUUUUCGUACUUUUUAAUCGCACAUUCUCUUAAAAAAUACUAUUCAAAACUUUGUUUUUCACAAUCAAUGAUUGUCAAACGGGGACAAAGUAUAUUGUCGACUGCGUAGCAUUGGGGGACAUUUUUUUUCCGAUGCCAUUCUUCUUUGUACGAGUGUACGACCAAUUGCUUUAUAGAUUCUUUUCUCAUCUGUUGCCUUGAUAAUCAUUCUGUAAUCAAUAUGGUACCCAUAGUAGCAAACACAAUAUAUUCAAAGAUUUGGGCUCUUUCUAAAAGAGAGAUUACCCGGAUUGGGAAUGCAUGGUCCUAAUUUAACUAUGUGUUUCGCGCGGGUUAGUCGCUAACAAUUAAAAAGGAUUAGACGAUUAUGUAAGGGACAAACCUCUUGAAACAAAGUCCCAAAAAGGGGUGUUCUUUUAUUGGCGAUGACUUUACAAUUGGAAAUUAAAAACAACGUGCCUCCAAGGGGUGCAAGCACACGAGUUACUGAAAGAAAAGUAUUUAAGUCUAAAAACUAAGGAAAUGAAAAUUACAUGUUCUCUGUUCGAGAGUUUUGGAUUCGGUCCCUUGCUUCUAUGUCCUUUCUCCCUUUUAUACUUCAUGGACGAUCUCUUUUUGAUCAACCGCCCUAAAAACUGCUUGAUCGUCCUAUAACUGCCCACUUUCUUCGUAAUGGUCAACUUGUCAUGAAAACUGCCUUUUUUAAUUGCUGCCAUUACUCUUCAUCGUUCAACCGCCUUCGGUUGAAUCCCUUGAAUCGUGGAACGUGAUAGGGCUGCUUUAAUAACUACUUUGAUAACUGCACUCUUUGAUAACCACGACGCUUUAUGUUUGUUAAGAUCUUGGGCGAUUUGAAGGUUUGGGCGAGAAUAGAGUAACAGUUCCGGGCGACUGUAUGACACUCUAUUCGCUCAGAUUCUGGGCGACUUGCAAACUUGGGCGAUGGCAUUAUCGCGUUCUUGGGCCUCCCUAUUUGGGCCUUCAUCUUGAUUUGUUCGAUUGGGCUUCCUUCUUUGGACUAUCUGAUUUGGGGAUCCUUCAAUUGGGCUUCAUUCCUUGUGCUAUUUGAUUUGGGCUGAAUUUUUAUGUGUCAACAAUUACCCCCCAAUAUGGCAGAAUUAAUAAUAAUUAUUAAAUUUUGCCAUAUUCACUUUGUGUUUCCAGCAACAUUCGAAAUUCUCAAGAAUUUCAAUCAUUGUUUUCUUCUAUAACUUGAAAAGGUGCGUCGUUUUGCAAACCCUUAUAAACCCCAAACACGCCAUUUCACUGCACCAUCAAACCACGCCUCAAAUUUUUUGCGUCUCUCUCAUGAUUCACUUUUCAUUUUUUGCUUCCCUGCUACAUAACCCUGAAAAGCUUCGUUCCUUCUCAAAUGGCUGCUUCACAAUCUCAAGCUAGCGAUUUCUUUAGUUUUGAUGACUUUCAGAGACUUCUGAGUCGCCCAUACAUAACCCCAAGUUUUCUCGAGCUCGUCGAUGUCGAACGUAAUGAGUUCUACUUGGGUCCUUUCUUCAACAAUGCAGAGGCAGUUGAACAGACGGCGGUGGGUCAGCUAUUUCCUUGCACUCAUGGCCCUCCUUUUCUAAACUCUCUAUCGCUGGGGCCAUUUCGUGAAAGAGGUAUUCGCACUUGGCCAAAAUCUGAUGUAGAUUUUCGUAGGUGGCAUACUCGCCUUGUGGGUCAUGGUCCUACUAAGGCACUUUUUGAUAGCGCUAGGAUUUCUGAUUUGUUAAAAAUCUCUAUUCGCUCCCCUACUUUUGAUUCAGCACUCUUUUCAAUUGUUUUGAGUUUUUGGUCUCCUGAGUAUAACACCUUUAUUUUCCCUCUAGGCCCCAUGUCCAUUACCUUAAGGGAUGUUGGAGCCCUGGUGAAUCUACCACCUUUGGGCGAUACCAUUUUUCCUGGUAUCUUAGUUUCUGCUGGCGCUCCAAAGUUUGGUAAAAACUACCCCGAUUCUUAUUCAAGCCUGCAAACUCUUCACAAUCAUUCGAGCGCUAAGCCUUCCCAUACUGAGCGAGUGGCCUUCCUUUUAGUUUGGCUUUAUAAAUAUAUUUUGUGUGUGCCAAGUAUAAAGUCUUCCCUAAGUUAUUUACCUAUAACGCACGAAUUGGCGCGUGGCAGGCCUUUGAAUUUAUGUUCUUUGUUUUUGGCUGCCCUUUAUAGAGGCAUGGCCUCUCUUCAAGCUCAAUUGAAGAAUGGUGCAUCUCCCACUGGUAGUGGACCUCUUUGGUUCACUCAACUGUGGUUGAGAUCCUAUUUUCCAUUGCUUGGUGCUCCAUCAGUCUCUCGCUCUUCUGCUAGCUGUUAUAGGCUAGCCAUGGAGCCCUUAGCUCCUGUAAAUAUGUCCAGAAAUGAUAUUUUUUCAUUCUUUUAUUCCUUGGAUUCAAUCCCUUCCUUUUUUCCUUUUCCUCCUUUUUUGACUCCAAACUAUAUACAUCCCCCUUCCACUAUAGAUGGCGCGAGCACCUCCCUGCUCAUUUGGAUCCAGUUUUUAACCGAGAAGGAGCUAUUUUAUGAUAUUCUAACUGGGACCAACGCCAAGGCAGGGGUAAAGAUUUAUGCUCUCCAAUUUUUUGCCCGUCAGCUUGGUUUCGGCCAAACUUGGCCUGUUCCUCCUUGCUAUUCAAGGAACUUAGUUGACCGUUUUUAUACUAUUAAUAAGGCGAAGGCAGAGGCUAUAGAUGCUCGUAAUCUUCUUUUAACCAGCCAUUUUUCAUUAGCCCCUUCCAAUUCUAGCCACGCCAUUCACCAUCUUUUUGAACAACUCUGGUCGCCGGUGAAGCGCAGAUUAUUUGCGACUGACGCCAAUCGUGUCUUUCAUUCAUUAGACCAACCGAGCAUUUCUUCUCCUCCUCCUGUUUUGGUCACUCCUUUGUCUGUUCGGAGUCCUUCUCCUUCUCGUCGCACUAAGCAGUCUGCUCAUCCAUCUUCUUCUCUCCCUACCAAGCCUAAUACGGCCAAGAGUACCCCAAGCCGCAAACGGCCAGCCUCAGCAUCUCCCAUUCUGGAGGAUGAUGUUGAUCAUGAUGAUGAUGCCCCUCUUAUCGUUAGGAGAAAGGUAACUAAAUUGGUUUACUCAAAAGUAUACUUCUCUACACUUGAAACUUUUCUGUGUGCUGAUGAUCUUUUGGACUUCUCAGAAAAAUUCAGCCUCUCCUUCUAAGGCUUUGGCACCGACAGCUCCUCAUCCAUCAUCUUCUGCUGAGGCUACUUCAUCCAAAGAGGUUGAUGAGGGGGCUACGCUUAAAGAGACAUCUUCAGUCCCGAAAUCUUCAUCACAACCCAUGGAUGAGCCACCUUCUUGCCAGAGCGUCAACCCCCCAAUCAUUGAAGCAGAAGGUAAUUCAGUCUUUUGAUGUCUUACCUUUGCUCGUGCUGUUGGCUUCUGAUUUGUUGCCCUUGAGUUUUGCAGAUACUCCUAUGAGUCCGCCCAUUGUGGUAACAUCUUCUCGUUCAGACAAGGGGAAGUCCUCACGAAUGGAGGAGUCGUUGGUGGCAAGCUUGGCUGAGGGCAUGCCAUCUUCUACGAUUGUUGAUGAGGUGAUCUUUGCUUCACUUCUAUUUCCAUCUUGUUCGUUGUAGUGAGGAUUUUUAAUAUUGGCAAUUUUCUUUACAGGAUGCUGACAACAUUGUGCGUUCUAUCCAAGACUUAUUCACUUCCUGGGGGCAAGUCUAGACGUCUCACCCUGCUUCAUCUGAUCAUCAUACUGCUUCUUCAGAGGAAGAUUUGAAGUUCCUUUAGGAGUUGAUACUUGAGUACGUAUCUUUCAUGGAUAUGGAUAUUGGAAGGGCUGGUGCUGCCAGACACAAGGAUGAACUUGAGCACUUGAGUGCGAAGUUGGAACAAGCACUGACGCUUCCGUCGUUCAAUCUUUCUGCCAAUUUUAAAGCGACGUUGAAGGUUAUCCAUUCCGAGGUCCUUUCUUUACUGGCCAAGAAUGCUGAGCUAAAGGCCAAACGUACUCAAUAUCUUCGAGCUGUAGCUGAGAAAGAGUCUUUGCGCAUGGAGAUUAACAAGGCUAAGGACGAGUUGAAAGAAAUCUCUUCCGAAGUCAUGGUUGAAGACUCUUUGAUGGUUAAUUUGGCUGCUCAGAUGAAAGAUCUUCAAGCCCAAAUGGACGACUGCAGGGCGAGAAUGGCUGCUAAAAAGCGCAACGCCUCCUAGGGAAUUGAGCGAACUAAGUCCUUGGUCGAACAGUACAAGAAGUUGGAAGUUGAUGACGAUGUCGCGGCUGAAUUGAACAUCACUUCCUCUCGGCAGAACGAGGAUUUGGAAAGACUUAGGGAACGAAUUCGUUCAGUAUGGGGUGGACUGUAAUUAAGACAUAUGAUGUCUUUUUUUUUCUUUCUUUUGUAAUUUGAUUUUUUCCUUUUGUAACUUUGUUCAUUAUCAAUGAACAUUAACUUCUUGUGCAUUUAUUUGACGUUUUAUUUUUUAGUCGUCAAUUCCUUAAGCAUUUAACUGCUUUGUGCUAAAAUCUUGUCCAUUUUCUUUUGAUAUUUCCACCACUUUUCCCAAGACUUUGGGCUAUUUAAUCCCGUUUAUUAGGCAGAAAUGUGGCUGUUCACAUUCUGUCUUUUCAUCUCCACCCCCUAUAAAUACUUCGCAUUUUCCAUCUUUCGUCUUCAUCUUCAUUUUCUUCUUCGAAACUAAUUUGUUGUCAUUGCUUGGCAUUCUGACACUCAAUCCGACCCAAAAUGGACUAUUUAGUCAGCCCAUUUUACUAUUUGCCUUGAUGUCACCUUUGCUAUGGGCGGUAUAGGAAAUAUUUUCUGGCCAGUAGCGAAAUUUUUACCUUCAAAAUUCUUCCCAUCGUCUCUUUGUUUUUCACAAGGAGUCGAUGAUGGAAGGCAAUUUUUGGACUGCUUGUGAGCCACUCUGCUUGUUGAGAGUGCUUCUCAACUUGCCUGCUGAGAGUGCUUCUCAGCCUUUUUGCUCGCCAUUGCAGCGAUGCAUUUAGGAAAGUGGUGAGGCCAGUACACCCUCUUACUCGGCGAUCCCACCAUUGCAGCGAUACAUUUAGGAAGGCGGUGUGAAGCUUACUCAGCAAUCAACCGGGAGAUUAUCUUACUUUAGUUGUAUUUUGUAACAUCAAUUAUUUGUAUUUUUUGUAUUCUUGUAAUGAACGUUUGAUAAUAAAGGACUUCAUUUGAACGUAUUUCGCUCUGACCUUGUUAUCUUUUAAUCGUUCAAAAUAUUUGAUUAUAUUUUUAUCUGUUCACAUUUCCAUAAAGAAGGAACAUAUUUUUUCAAAUAUUUGCCGUUAGUGAAUCUCACGUGCUUGGUGCCAUCUAAAUCUUCCAAGUGAUACGCUCCAUUGGGCAACACACUGUUUAUUUUGUAUGGUCCUUCCCAAUUAGGCGAUCACUUCCCGUACUUCGGAUCCUUGCUAUCCAAAAGAAGUAUCGUCUUCCAAACUAGUUCACCCAGGCUGAACGACUUGGCUAUGACUUUUUUAUUAUAAAACUUAGCCAUUCUUUGCUUUUGAACUUGCAAUCUAUCUAAGACAUCCAACUUUAAUUCGUCUAAACUCAAUAAAUUUUGAACUAGUGAUUUGGCAUACUCAUCAUCAUUCAAUUUAUGUUGCAAGCACACUCUAAUCGAUUGCACGUUGAUUUCCAUAGGCAAAACGGCCUCCUGUCCAUAAACAAGUUGGAAAGGAGUAACCUUGGUACUUGAUCGAGGUGAUGUCCUAUAAGCCCAUAAAGCCUUGUUCAGACAUUCGUGCCAAUUUCUGGCGUUUUCAUCUAUCAUCUUUCUGAUGAUAUUUUUUAGAAUCUUAUUAGAAGAUUCCACUUGUCCGUUGGAUUGAGCGUAGUAUGGUGUGAAGUUUACUAAUUUAACUUCAAACUCGCUCAAAAAUUUGUUCACUUGAUCCCCAUUCAAAGAUGUUCCGUGAUCUAUCAUUAACGUUUGUAGAAUUUCAAACCUAUAAAUAAUGUGAUCACGGAUAAACUCUAUAACAUUCUUCUGGGUGAUCUCUUUCAAAGGUACCGCCUCCACCCAUUUGGUGAAAUAGUCGGUUGCAACUAUAACAAAAGUAUGUUGCUUGGACGAUGGGGGAUAAAUUUUUCCUAUCAGAUCUAUCGCCCAACCCUUGAACGGCCAAGGUUUAAUAAUAGGUGCCAUCUCUCGUGCUGGCGCCCUUUGUAUUGGACCAUACUUUUGGCAUGCUAAACAACUCUUUGCAUACUGAACGCAUAGUUCUCCCAUCUUUGGCCAAAAAUAUCCACUCCUAAUAAUUAACCAUCUCAUCCUUUGGCCAGAUUGAUGAGCUCCACAUAUCCCUUCGUGCACUUCAGCCAUGAUCGUCUUGGCUUCUUGCAAACUUACACACUUUAGUAAUAUACCAUCAGAGCGUUUCUUAAACAACGCUUCAUCUAUUAGUGUGUAAUUCAGCAAACAUAGCUUCAUUUUCCUACUAAUCCCUCCAUUAGGUUCUUUAAGGAACCUUUUAAUCUCUAUUCUCCAAUCCACUGUAUCUCCAUCUUGUAUGCAGUGAAGUUCAAUUUUUCUCGCCCUUCUUUGAGUCAUGGGCAAUAUGAUUUCAUACUCACAAGUAGACUUCCAAUUCAAGACCUUUGAGUACCUUGAGGCCAUUUGGGCUAGCUCAUUUGCCACGUCGUUAUAUAUCCUAUUAACGCAUUGAAGUUCUACUUGAUCGAAUUCCUCUAAUAAUUCUUAGGCGAUAUCAUAUUGACUUAUAAUGGAAUCACUUUGGCAUUUAAAAUCACCGAUCAAUUGAUGUAUCACCAAUUGAGAAUCGCCCCUAACGAUCACAUUUCUUACUCUCAUAUCUAUCAUUAGUUCUAGGCCUACAAUUAAGGCUUCAUAUUCAGUCUGAUUGUUGGUGCACAUUCUGUCUAAGGUGAAUGCAAACUUGUAGCAAAUCCCUAAAAGAUUAAUCAAUGCUACUCCUACUCCUGCACCUUUAGAAGUUUUUGACCCAUCGAAAUACAACACCUAAGGUUUUAACUCGAACGAAUUGAUUUCUAGUUCGAUUUCUUCAGGCAUGUCAAGGCAUGGAUGAUCGGCUAGAAAAUUAGCCAAAGCCUGAUUUUUGACUGCCUUUUGAGGUAUAUAUUGUAUUUCGAAUUCUGAUAAAACUAGUGUCCAAAGGCCUACCCUUUGGUGUAAAAUAGGGCGCGAGAACAUAUACUUAAUUAAAUUUACUUUAGAAAUUAAAUAAACGAUUACGGGCCGUAAAUAAGCCCUUAAUUUUGUACAUGUAAAAUACAAUGCAAGGCAUAAUUUUUCAAUAGCAGAGUAAUUACAUUCACAUUUCGUUAACCGUCUACUUAAGUAAUAAAUUGCCUUUUCUUCACCAAAUUGAUCUUCUUGUGCGACCAUUCCAGCUAUUGAUUCUUUUUCAACCGAUACAUACACUUUCAUUGGCCGUCCUUGGAUUGAUGACACCAACACUGGUGGACUUGAUAGAUAUGUUUUCAGGCUUUUAAAAGCCUUUUGAUGUUCUUCUUUCCAGACGAAUUCAUCCUGAUUUUUCAGCUUUAAUAGCGGCGAAAAGACUUUAGCUCGCCCUGCACAGUUAGAAAUAAAGCGUCUUAAAAAAUUUACUUGGCCUAGAAACCUUUGCAACUCCUUUUUGUUGCUAGGUGGUUUGGCUUCUAAAAUAGCCUUCGCUUUAUUUUUAUCAAGUUUAAUCCUUCUCUUGUGUACUAAGAAACCAAGAAAGUUCCCUGCAUUAACACCAAAUGCACACUUUAAGGGAUUCAACUUUAGCUUAUAUUGCUUCAUUCGUUCAAACGAACAUCUUAACUGUACGAAAUGGUCCUCUUCUUUAAUGGACUUGACUACUAUGUUGUCUACAUACACCUCAACAAACUUGCCUAUCAUAUCAUGAAAGAUUAAAUUCAUUGCCCUUUGAUAAGUUGCCCCUGCAUUUUUUAGGCCGAAAGGCAUAACCACCCAUUCAAAACAUCCUAGAGACUCAGGGCAUCUAAAUUCCUAAAGUCUAUACACACCCUUAGUUUACCAUUCUUUUUUAGUACUGGCACGACAUUGGACAACCGUUCGACAUAACUGGCUGUUCUAAUGAAACCUGUUUUCAAUAAUCGCUCUAUCUCUUUCUUGAUUUUAGGGAGUACAUUGGGAGCAAAUGUUGGGCUGUUUGAUUUGGACUGAAUUUUUAUGUGUUAACACUAUGAAACAAGGUUUACUAGAAGACAAACAAAUGAAGUCUUGAGGGAAUCCUUUCUGGAAGAGCUUGCUAGAACUGGUAUCAACACUCAGACAGAAUGACUUUUCAUGCUCCCAAAAGCACAGCAUCACCAGUCCACUCACUGUUAAUGACAUCUCACAACGAUAAACUUAAUUAGACCUUUGCAACUUAUCAAGGAACCAAUGGGGAUACCAAUGUCAAGCAGAAAUAACUAUUAUUAUUUUUCUUCAAUUUGUGCUUCAAUGCUAGUAAUACAUAUAAUCAUCGUUUCUGCUGAGCACAGCAGAUAGAAGCCACAUGGCAUGUUUUACCAGAAGAAAUUAAGAACAAAAGCCUUGGGAGUAAUGGGGAUUCCAUACUAAUUCGAACUGCCCUUUCCUCAACACUAGUUUAUGAGCUUUUUAUGCAUUAGAAGAAAAAAAAAUCUCUCCACAAAAGACACUGUGGUGGUGAGUGAUUUUUGGUGCACAGAACAAACAGAUCUGCUUGACGUUGAUGUAAAAAAGAAAGAAACUUGGUGAUUCCAGAUAAAAGAUGUCUACAAAAAUAAUGAAAAACUAAACCCACACCAUCAAUAGGUUAAAGCAAAUUAGUAAAGAUCUCUCCUUCAUAAAUCUUUGAUUGAAACAUUCUUCUGUAGGAUUCUAAUUGAUCACAUCAGCUCGUUCUCAUCAGCAUUACUUGUUCACAACUGGAAAAAUCAAGAAACUAAAAAAUGAGAAAUCAAAUCUGUCAAAGUACCUUCAGCUUAUCAUAUAUUUUGCAUGAACCAACUCCAUCCAAAUUGAUGACACAAACAUCUCCCUGGCAAGGGAGUUGCCACCAAAGUAUAUUUGAUUUCCAUGACGUCUGAAGAAUGUUCGGAACCAAAAUCCUUCAUUCGGAAACUGUUCAAUUGAGUGAGCAUAGACACAAGUUCAUCAUUUGAAGUGCGAUCUGCAGGCAAGUCAGAUAGGCAUACAACAGCAAUUCUAACAGCCCUUAACAUUUCAUCUUCUUCAAGUUCUUCCCCAAGGAUACUCUUAACUAGUGCUACAGACGCCUCCCCUGCUUGCUGCAAAUUAGGGCUGGGCAAAUCUCCCGAACCGAACCGACCGAACUCGAGCCCGAACCGAACUGAACCAAACCCGAUGGUUCUUGUCAAAUUAAAUACUCGAACGGGUAUCUGAAUUGAGAACCGACGGGUACAAUUCGAUUUUUGGUUCUGGACCAAGAACCGAAAAAUUGAAUAAGAACCGAAUCUUUCUAAUUUUUUUUUUAUAUUAGAUAAAUCAAACUAUUUUAAUUUUAAUUUUAAUUUUUUCUAAACAAAUUAACAAUUUCUAAAUCCAAAUUUUUGGUCCAAUAAUUUGUUUCAUUUUCUAAUUUUUUAAUUUUUGGCCCAAUUACCCAUUUUAUUGUUUCAUUUCUUAACCCAACAAGAUCUAACUCAUUAAAUAAUCAUAAACACUUACACUAAAGUGCAUAACGCUGUCUCGACUCUCACACUCACUCUUGCAGCCUCGCUGAUAUUCCAAAACUUAUACAAUCGUCGGCCGACGUUGUGACUUCCGAUCGAAACUGUGACCUCCGACAUCGAAACUUUGACCGUAGUGAUCAUUUGAACAAGGUAGUCUACUAGUCUCUAACAUUUCAAAAUCAUUGAAUGUGUCAUUAGUUGUAUUUAUAUAAUGUUGUUAUAAAUGUUAAAAAAUUUAAUUAUAGUACAUAACCGAAUGGAACCGAACCAACCCAACCCGAAUGGUUCCAUAAUUAUAUUUGGACCCAACGGUUCCAUUUACUAGAUACCCGAAAAUUUUGGUUCGAUUCGGUUCUAGACCCGCGCCCACCUCUACUGCAGACAACCGAGCCAUUGUUCCAAACUUCCUCCACUAUUUGCUGUUGGAAAUUUAUUGUUCAAAAUCAAAGAAAAAAAAUGGGGGAGGCUUAACCAUGCGACCACAUGGAUUAAGCCCAUGCGGUCGCAUGAGGCCCUCCCGAGAAUGGGAGGGUGGCAAUGCUAUAACCAUGCGACCGCGUGGCUAUAGUCCAUGCGGUGCAUGGUUAUCAAAAACUAACCGUUAAAUAAGUAAUCAAGGCCUAUAAAUAAGUAAUCCAAGUGCAAGAAAGAUAUAUUGAGUUCUAUUAAAAUUUAUCCCUAAAUAUACUUCCAAUAUUGAGAAAAUUUAUCACAUAAUUCUUCCAUUUUCACUUGUUCAUUGUGAAGAAACACCUUUGCUUUUUGGUGUUCUUCUUGUUAAGGCUUGUUUAAUCUUACAAACUAUUUGCCGAAAAUCCUUAAAAAGCAUUAGAAAGGAGGCAAAUAACGUUUGAGGACAACGACAAUAAUUUCGUGUUCAAGCCUUCAUUGAUAUACUUUUAUAAUUUUCUUCUCCAUUGCUAUUAUUUUCAACAAUCUCAAACGGUAACUUGUUACCAUUAUUGCAAUGGAGAUGGAAUCUACAAUUGCUACUAUCAAAAUGAUGAAUCAAGACCUGGUACGCUUGGACAGAUUUGAUGGUGCAAAUUUCACAGGAUGACAAGACAAACUUAAAUUUCUGUUAAAGGCCUUGAAGAUCUUCUAUGUGCUUGAUCAAAAAUUAGAGCCCAUUCUCGAUGCAACUGACAAGGAUACUGAAGAAAUUCGCGUGGAAAGGAAGAAACGGGAAGAGGACGAAUUGAUAUGUCAUGGCCAUUUCCUAAAUGCAUUAUCCGAUCGCCUCUAUGAUCUCUACACCAACACUACGUUGGCAAAAGAAAUCUGGUAUGCGUUAGAAAGCAAAUACAAAGUCGAAGAGGAAGGUACCAAAAAGUUCUUAAUAUCUAAAUACUUUAAUUUCAAAUUUUUGGAUAAUAUACCAUUAUUGCGUCAAGUACAUGAGUUACAAAAAAUUGUAAACAAACUGAAAGCGGUGAAAAUUGAACUUUUCAAAACUUUCCAAGUGGGAGCAAUUAUUGCUAAACUUCCUGAUUCUUGGAAAUGAUAUAGGAAAAAGAUUUUUCACAAUUCCAAAGAUUUUUUUUUGGAAGAUAUACAAAAAUAUCUUCGUAUUGCGGAAGAAUCAAGGACAAGAGAUAAGAUUGAAAAUUCUUAUGAUGACUCUUCAAAGGCCAAUGUCGUGGACAAUGUGGACAACUCCAACAAAUUUAAAAAGAAAGGAAAAUUUCUUGGUCCUAGAAAGAAUCAAGGUGUAACGAGCCAAAAUUUAAAGGCUUGAAUCGUUACCAAAUUUUCAUUUAAUUUUUUUUUAAUUAUUAUUUUGAAAAAUGUGGCAUGCCAUAUAAUAUAAAAAUUAUGAAAGGGUAAUUUCUCAAAUUUAUAGAAAAAUAAAUAUAUAUUAAUUGUUAGAAAGAAUAUUUUUCUAUGCCAUAUCUUUCACGUGUACACUAGGAAAAAGCGCACAUAAAAAUUAGUUUGCAAUUAGACAAAUAUGCUUUCUACGCUUGUGGAAUAAUUACCAUUGAUUUUGUACGGACCCAUAUACAUUUGCAGUAAUGAAUUCUAGGUUAAUCACAAUUCCAAUUCAAGCAUAAUAUUCUUCUCUUUCUUCAAUGUGUGGACACGGCCCCAAAUGGUGAAAAUACUACCAAAUUUGUCUUAUUUUAUUAAAGAAAUUCCCACCCUACAUCACUAGGCUAUGGGGCAUGCUAUCAACAUUUAUUAUUUUAACAGUAAGUACAAAUUGAUGGAUAAAAUAAUAUUUAAUUUCAACUUUAUCUAAAGUAAAAUAACAUUUACACGUAAACUGGACUAUUUAAUGCUCCUUCAAGCAGUGACACAAAGAUAAUAUUCUGUAUCAAUAUUCUCAAUUUUUCUUCAUGAAACCACGGAGAUUAAAAUAAUAUAACACACUAAGGAAAUCGAAGGAUUUUAUUUUGAACUUUUAAAUAAAAGCACAAUUUAAAAUAAAUAACCAUAUAAUAAAUAAGCAUAAACAAUAAUUUAGUUGUGAAUAAAUGUUUACGGCAAAGAAAUAAAGUUACGUGCCAAAUUCUUUAAUUUCUUGUCAAGCGAGACGAGACACAACCACACCAUCGAACUACCACGCUCCGACAGGACCCGAUCUAACCUGUGAGGUGUAGGGAAAAGGGUGACUACAAGGGAAUACUCAGUAGGAUAUCAGAUUCAAUAGUGCGAUACCGAAUAAUAAUUUUAAAAACAUGUGUCAGAAUAUCAUACCGUCGCAUAUCUUUAAAAAUCCGGUAAGAGCUCAUAUCAUAUCAUUUCAUUGUACCCGAAUGAUCAUAUCAUUCAUAUCAUAAUAUUCCAUAUCAUGAGUACAAAAAUUCAUCAACGUGAAAAAAAAAAACAAAAAAUUUAAACGGGACAUAUAAACACUGCACCUCAUAUCCUACCUUGUUAAACUGCUUUAAAUUUUUGGAAGACAAAGAAUCACGUUCCCUUCUUUCCUUUUCCUCUUUCUGCCUCUUAUGUUACUGUGAGUCGUGCACAAACAUAUAUAUAUAUAUAUAUAUAUAUAUUUCCUCGUGUGAUUUAUUUAUCUACAUAGGUACUAAUACCCUAACCACUAAGGUGUGAUGUGGGAAAACGUGUGAGAGAUAGUGGGUAAUUGGAUGAAGUUGGGGAAACCGUAUUUGAAACAAAAUGUUUGACUAGAUUUUGCCAACCAACUAUACCACUCAACAAAUACAUUCCUUCCAUGUGGCACCUUUUAAAACAAAUUAAUAGGAAAAGAUCAAAACUGCUCUCUCUCUCUCUCUCACGUAUCUUCCCUUAUCUUCUCUCUCUCUCUUUUUUUUUUUCUUUUUUCGUUUUUUUUAUUAUUAUUUUAAACCUUAUUUAAUAAACAAAACAAUGCCUACCAGAAAUCUAGCACGUUACCCAUGAAAUUUCUAAAUUCAUUACAUAUUCAAUUAAAAUAAUAUUACUAAUAAUAAUAUUUAAUUCUAUAUCUUUCGACCUCGAUAACUUAGGUUUCGGUAAUCCAAAUUAACUUUUUCUCGAACCUAAUAUGCAUCUUUAAUUACGAUCUAUCCAACGAGCUCAAUAUUCAUAUACUUAUUAUCACUCCGUCAAUAUCUACAUUUUAAUCCAAAUUAAAUUAAAAUUUACUUUAUAUGCACUUUAGUCCCUAAACUUUCAAAACAUUAAAAUAUAGCAUACAAAAAUUAAAUUCCAUUCUACCAAAAUUUUCAGGACAUUACACAAGGAAAGUUCAAAAACAAAGCCAAAUGACCUUACUAAGUUUAUGGAAAAUCGGGACACUAUGUCAAAGAUUGUAGACAUAGAAAACAUGAUAUUAUCGCCACAGUGAGCGAAAUCAAUUCAAUCUAAGGCAAAAUUCCAGGCUAGUGGUACGAUACAUGCGCUACAAUCCAUGUAUGUUAUGACAAGUCUCUUUUCAAAACUUAUCAUAACAUUAAAGACAAUCAAGAAAUACAAAUGGGAAAUGAAGGAAGAUCAAAAGUGAUUGGCAAAGGAAAUGUGGAACUCAUUUUCUCUUCGGGAAAGAAGAUCACUUUAACAAAUGUCUUGCAUGUACCGAAAAUGAAUAGAAACUUAGCAAGUACUGUACUCUUGGAAAAACCCGGAAUUAAAUCUAUUUUUGAAUCUGAAAAGCUUGUAUUAACCCAUAAUGGGCCCUUUGUUGGAAAGGGCUACUCCACCGAAGGAAUGGUCAAACUAUGUACUAUUGAAGAUAAUUCAAAUAAAGUUAAAUCUUUUGCGUAUAUUUAAAUGUGGAUUAAUACAAUAUGAUAUUGACAACUUUGAAAAAUGUGAAAAAUGUGUUAAAUAAAAAAUGAUUAAGAAGUCAUUUCAUAGCUUAGUAAGAACAACAAGAUUACUUGAACUUGUUCAUUCCGACAUAUGUGAAUUGAAUGGAUUGUUAACUAGAGGCGGUAAUAGAUAUUUUAUUACUUUUAUUGAUGAUUGUUCUAGAUAUGCUUAUGUGUACUUAUUAAAACAUAAGGAUCCUUUAGUGCCUUUAAGACUUAUAAGAUUGAAGUUGAAAAUCAAUUAGGAAGAAAAUUAAAGACUUUAAGAAGUGAUAGAGGUGAAGAAUAUUUUUCUAAUGAAUUUAACAUGUUUUGUGAACAAAAUGAAAUAAUACAUCAAGCUUCUGCACCUAGAAGAUCGGAAGAAAAUGGAUUAGCAGAAAGAAAAAAAUAGAACUCUUUUGGAAAUGAUAAAUGUAAUAUUGUUAAAUUCUGAAUUACCCUUUAAUCUAUGGGGUGAAGCCUUACUUAGUGCUUGCCAUAUAACAAAUAGGAUUCCUAUGAAAAAGAAUAAAAUUUCUCCAUAUGAAAUUUGGAAAAAUAGAAAAUCAAAUAUUAGUUAUUUUAAAGUGUGGUGGUGCCUUGCCUAUUGUAAGAAUAUAGAUCCUAAGAGAAUCAAGUUAGGUCCUAGAAGUAUCAAAUGUGCUUUUGUGGGAUAUGCCCUUAAUAGCAAAGCCUAUAGAUUAUUAAAUCUAGAAACAAAUGUUAUAAUAGAAUCAAGAGAUGUGAAAUUUUCGAGAAUAUAAUGGUGGCUAGGAAAUCUGAAAAUAAUAAUAAAGAUAUUUCAAUUUUUAGAAGCUCACCAGAAGAAACAUCCAUAAAAGAUGUUGAAAUUGAACCUCGAAGAAGUAAAAGAACUAGAAAAGAAAAGAACUUAGGAUCAGAUGAAAUAGAUCCCCAACUUAUUUCUUUUUACUUAGUAGAAGGAGAUAGGAAGGAUGUUGUAAGAACAAUUCCCUUUGUUCUUCAAGUGGAAAGUGAUCCUAAAACUUAUAAGGAAGCGGUGUAAUCUAGAGAUUGCAUGUUCUGGAAAGAAGCCAUAAACAACGAAAUGAAUUUUAUUAUUUCAAAUAACACUUGGGAAAUAGUUGACUUGCCAACAGGAUCUAAGACUAUUGGUUGCAAGUGGGUGUUUAGGAAGAUAUACAAUUCCGAUGGAUCUUUUAAUACCUACAAGGCUAGAUUAGUGGCUAAAGGGUAUCGUCAAAAAGAAGGAAUUGAUUACUUUGACACAUAUGCACCCGUAGCAAGGAUAACCUCGAUCAGGAUCUUAUUUGCAUUAGCAUCCAUUUAUCAUCAAAUGGACGUCAAGACGGCAUUCCUAAAUGGAGAUCUCGAAGAAGAGGUCAAUAUGGAACAACCAGAAGGUUCGUUCUACCGAAAAAUGAACAUAAAGUGUGCAAAUUAAUUAAAUCCUUAUAUUGACUAAAGUAAGCUCCCCAAAAGUGGCAUGAGAAAUUUGACUCUAAAAUAAUGUCAAAUGGAUUUAAUCACAAUUCGGUAGAUAAAUGCCUCUACACGAAAGUGAAUGAAAAUAUAUUCACGUUAGUAUGUCUAUAUGUUGAUGAUAUGCUAAUCAUUAGCAAUAAUAUAGACGGGAUCAAAGAAACAAAAUUGUUUCUAUCCUCUACUUUCAAAAUGAAGGAUCUUGAAAAAGUUGAUACUAUCCUUGGUAUCAAAGUUAAAAAGGAUAGUGGGGAUUUUACAUUAAGUCAAUCACACUAUGUUGAGAGUGUGAUAAAUAAAUUCAAACAUUUGAAUAUUAAGGAGCCUAACACUCCCAUAGAUCCAAAUAUUAAAUUAAUAAAAAAUGAAGUUAGAGCAAUUGCACAAAUAGAAUACGUAAGUGCAAUUGGAAGUCUUAUGUACGCAUCACAAUGUACAAGACCUGAUGUAGCAUUUGCUGUAUGUAAACUAAGUAGGUUUACUAGCAAUCCAAGUUCAGAACAUUGGAAGACCAUCGGUAGGGUUCUUGGUUACCUAAAGAAAACCAAAAAUCUUGAGCUACAAUAUACAAAAUUUCCUAAAAUCUUAGAAGAAUAUACUGAUACAAGUUGAAUAUCGAGUGCAGGAGAGAAUAAAUCUACUUCAAGUUGAAUAUUCACUCUUGGAGGAGGUACAGUUUCUUGAAAAUCUAAGAAAUAAACUUGUAUUACUCAUUCAACUAUGGAAUCAAAGUUUGUAGCAUUAGCCGAAACCGGGAAAGAAGCUGAGUGGCUAAGAGAUUUAUUAUAUGAAAUACCUUUAGAUAUAAAGGAUAUUUCUUCUAUACCUAUCUUGUGUGAUAGUCAAGCCACUCUAGCUCGAGCAUAUAACAAAAUAUAUAAUGGAAAGUCUAGACACAUGAGUCUAAGACACGAGUAUGUAAGGAAAUUAAUCAAACAUGGAAUAAUUUCUCUUACAUUUGUUAAGUCUAGUGAAAACUUAGCAAAUCCAUUUACGAAACCUCUCACAAAAGAGUUAGUGAGAUCAACAUUAAGUAAAAUGGGAUUAAAACUCCUCAAAUAGAUCCACCAAUAACUGCAACCUCACCAAAAUAUACUAAACUAGUAUAUAUAUAGGUUCAAGAGGUAGCAACAAGUUAUUCGAUAAAUGAAUAGAUUCAACACUAUUAAUAAAUAUCUAAUACUAUCUUUGAAAAAUAGUGUUGGUUGUUACUGUUAGAAGGAUGAGUUAAAAUAAACUCUUAAUGAAGUUUAGUACGAAAUACAAGUAUACGUAAAAGUAACAAAGAUACUAUAAGAACUUCACCUAUGUGAACUUCGAGGUGGUGCCGCUUCAUUAAAGAGUUGGAGUUUUCUCUCUUUAAAAGUUCAAUGAAAUAGGAUUAAUGCAAGGCCAUAUUAAUACUAAGCGAGUUAGAAGAACCAAUGAAAAUCAUAACACUUGUGUGUGUGAUUUCAUCGAUAUUGUCACAAAGAAUAAUUGGUUCAAGACACACUAGCCACUUGAAAUUCUGAUAAUACUUUAUGAGAUUUACACUAUGAAUAGAUUCAAUUCAAAAGAUAUCUAAUUCUUGUGCAUAAGUGUUGAUAUUUGAUUAUGUGAUUAAAAUAGAUUUUGAACAAGUGGGGGAUUAUUGGAAAUUUAUUGUUCAAAAAAAAGGGGGGCGGUCGCAUGAGGCCCUCCCGAGACUGGGAGGGUAGCAAUGCUAUAACCAUGCGACCGCAUGGGUAUAGCCCAUGCAAUCACAUGGUUAUCAAAACUAACCGCUAGAUUAGUUUUUUUUAUCGUUUUUUAUUUGAAAUUGGUGGCUUUUAAUCCUUGUUUUGCACCACUUCGUGAAAAACUUGCCAAGGCCUAUAAAUAGGUGAUCCAAGUGCAAGAAAUAUAUAUUGAGUUCCAUUAAAAUUUAUCCCCAAAUAUACUUCCAAUAUUGAAAAAAUUUAUUACAUAAUUCUUCCAUUUUCACUUGUUCAUUGUGAAGAAACACCUUUGCUUUUUGGUGUUCUUCUUAUCAAGGCUUGUUUAAUCUUACAAACUAUUUGCCGGAAAUCCUUAAAAAGCAUUGGAAAGGAGGCAAGUAACAUAUAAGGAAAGCGAGAUUAAUUUCGUGUUCAAGCCUUCAUUGAUAUACUUUUAUAAUUUUCUUCUCCAUUGCCAUUAUUUUCAACAUUUGCUUCCCCAGAAAAAGGAUCUAAUGGGUCUUUACUGGUUAAUAGAACACCCAAGAUUACCCCAAAGCUAAACACAUCACUCUUAUCUGUAUACCUAGUGCAAAUUAUAAUAAAGAUAAAUAAAUUUUCAGAAAUAAAAUAAAAGACUACAGUGAAAAUGCCCUAUCUUUUCUCCUCCAAUGCAAGGAUACAAAUGCCUUAUCUUCGAGAAUCAAGAUGAAAUUAAUUUUUAUCUAUGUGAUGCCUUCUAUUUUAACUUUUCUUUAGUGCUUAAAGCACUCUUAGUUUCCAGUAGAGUACAAUAAUUUUAAUUGAUACAGAGAAGCAAAAAAAAAUUGCCUCUCAUCUAGCUUUUUAUAAAGAUCAUGCUAUCAAUUAAGAUUCCUCUGUAUAUAUUGACAGGUCAAGAUAAUAAUUGUUGAAGAAGUGCAGAUAAUGAAAACUGAUGGGAGACUAGCAGAAAAACCAAUUAUCGAUUUGAAUUCGGUUUUUUUUUUUUUCUUUUAACUUAUAAAGUAACCAUCACCUCUAAUCAAGCUAGAUAAACCAAGUGCAUCAAAGGCCAUAAUAGAACCCAACAACUGAAACUAACAAACAUGAAUAUGCUAAACGAAUGAUGAUGAACAAUUGUUCUAAAUUUCAGACUAAACUAUUAACCUAUAAUGUACAUUAAAGUAGAACAAACCAAUUGUCGUAGUUAUAUCUAAAUUUCAAUACCCGUCAUUCUGAGAGCACUCUGGAGCACUGUAGCCUGAAGCAGCUCUAAAAACAUUGGGAAUAAUCAUAGCCAAGCCAUAAUCUGCUAACCUUGGUUCAAAUCGUGAGUCCAACAUCACAUUUGAGGGCUUCAAGUUGCAAUGCAAUCUUCUUGGAUCACAAGUGAAAUGAAGAUACUGCAGCUCCUAAACUAUCCAACUGCAAUUCGACACGUAAUUCCCAAUUAAAUUGGAAUUGAUUUUCCCUUACUCUUCUCAUUACAUCUUCAAGACUAUCAGUUGGGGCAUAAUCAGUAAUCAAAUAAUACCUGCGGGAUUGAUGAAUAUAAGCCCUCAAACUCAUCAAAUUCCUAUGCCUUAAGCUAGCAAGAAUUUCGAGCUCCUGCUGUAUCGUUUUCUCGACUGACUGACUCUGAGCUUCAAUAGAAACAUUCUCAAACGGCUCGAGCUGCUUGACUGCAACAAUGAGGCCAUUGUCCAGUACAGUCUUGUUGUACUUCCCAUUGGGACUUGAUCCUAGCAACUGGGUUUCAUUUGCAAGAGCUGAUUGUAAAGUCUCGGCAGGAAUUUUGGGAGAAAACACAACAGGGCCUUUAAGAUUUGGGCUCCUGUUAAUGCAUCUGAUAAAGCACCUUAUUAGAAAUGCAGCGAAAACCGCAAAAAAUCAAUCCUGCUAUGACUCCAAACAAAAUGCUCAGAGAAAUUCUCCUAAGCCUAUUCUUGAAUUCUGGAGGCUCAGAUUGUCAUGGAGGGUCACUGUGGAGGGAGACAUUCUUGCUGAUCUUUUCUAAGCAUUGCACAGAGAUAAUGUUGAAGCAGAAAAUAAGUAACAAGACUUGCUUUAGGGCUUUACUGCUACUCGUCUUGUAAAAGUGCCUCUUCUUCUCCAUAGAAAGCAGAAUCCUUGAUGUCGAGCGUAACCUCAAAUUACUCAAAAUUUUAACAUCCAGAUGAAGAGUAAAUUUCUUGAGCUGAAAAAGGCCAACCUUUAAGCUCCAAAUAAGGCUUGAAAUUACACGAAUUGAGGUUGAGAAUGAAAAUCAUAUAAUGGCGUCGGAAAAUCUUCAAGAGGAAGAGAAGUGGAAUCAUUUCUGUAUCACACAUUCUAACGUUUCCACAAGAAUAUCACCUCAAAUCUUCACCAUUUAUCUCCGAAAUAUUUGCCCCUUCGAAUCGAGAGUAGAAAUAAAGAAAAGAAGGAAAAAUGUAGAACCCCACCAAAUCCAAAUUGAAAAUUCCAAAGAUCCGUUCAAAUACGCAUAAACCAGCGGCCCCGAUAACUCUUGUUUCUCACAAAGGUAAUUAGGAUGCCACGUUCUUUUUUCUUUCAAUGUUACUGUAUAAAAAGUUAUUAUCUUCUAUUUUUUAAUAUUUUUAUCCUUACUUAACCAUUGAUUGUGCAGAUAGUCCUUCCGUCCAUUCAACCCAAAAAAAUCAAUUUUACCACAGUAUUAAAGGACGGAAUGGUAACUUACUAUUUAUCACAUCAAACUAUCAAAAUAAUUAAAGAAUAAAAUGAUUUUCCUGUCAGCCUCAGCCAAAAUUCAACCCAAACCAAAAUCAUUAUACUCGUCUCUCACCAUUGAUGCCAAAGCAAAUUGCCGACGAUUGCCAAUGCCGCCUACUCCCAUACACGCACGUAACCAUAUCGCCACCAGCACCUAUAUUCAUUUUUCCAAAAAAUAAAAAUAGGUAAAAAAAUCCAAAGCAAAUUACCAACACCCAUAUUCAUUCUCCUAUUUCUAAAUGCUACAAGUUAAUCAUUCCAUUAUCGUUUCCGUUGCAACUCUUAAUCCCUUUCAUUUGCAAAUGGAAAAACAGGCGUCAAAUGCAUCCGUCGUGGCCGUGGAAUCUAGUGCUUAGUGGUCAAAUGCAUAAAACAGCGUUAAACAUGUGAAAACUAAAGUAAAAUAAUUGUGGGCCCCCUAUUGUGAGAGAAGUAUUAUCUAGGGUGUCAACCCCGGAUGUACAAAUAGCGAAGUCUUUUUCAAAUUGUAUUUGUUUGUGGGUGAUUAAUUUGGAAGAAAUGAUUUUUUCAUUAUUCGGCGAGCUAAAAAUCUCAAGUUCAUUGGGAAUUUUUUGAAAAUUUCAUGAUAUACACGGGUUAGAAAAAUUUGGGUAAAGGCAUUAGGAAUUGGGGAUAUGGAUGGCGAUUUGAGGUGGAGGGUGUGGUGAUUGUAGUGCGAUUGUGGGUGUUAACACUGACUAUCGCCUGUGAUUUGUGUUAGCUCCGGUGGUGAGAUUGAUAGAAUGAUUUUGGUUUGGGUUGGUUUGUGGGUGGGUGGGUGGAGGUGAUAAAGAAAAAAAUCAAUUUUUUUUAAUUUUUAAUUAUAAAAUUUAAUUAUUUUGAUAGUUUAAUGAUAUAAAUAUAGAGUCACCAUUUGACCCUUUAAAAAUGUGGUCAAAUUGAAUUUUUUGGUUCACUAAAGGAGAAAUUGGCAGAAAAUGAAUGGAAGAACUAUUUGCACAACCAAAGGUGUAAUUAAGGUGAAAAUACUUAAAAAUAAAAAAUAAAAAUAUUUUGUACAAUAAUAUUGAAAGAUAUGAAUGUUACAGGUUAAUUACCCUUGGAACAUUACGUGGUAGUUAUCCUUCUCACAAAUAAUAUGAUUGGUUGGCAUACACGCACACGUAGCCGAUGUGGAAUAAGUUUGGUCAUUGAUUUGAUUAGAGAGAGAGAGAGAGAGAGAUGUAGAUUUGGCCUUGCUUUUGGCAUUGGGGACUGCAACGAAAAAUUUGCCAAAAUUGUGGCUUGUGUUGGCAAAUUAUUACAAUAAUGAAAUGUUCCCACCACUUUUUCAAAUUUGAAUGUUUUGUUUGAAUCUUCUGAACAAUCGAAUCAAUCAUUUCUCAUCCAAUCCGUUAUUGGAUGCAAUUAAGCUAUUCAUCCAGACUUGCAAAUAGGGUAAAAUACAGGAUUUUAAAAUAAAGAAUGACGUCAGCUAAAUUUUUGGAGGGAAGGCCAAAUCUUUCUUUCUAGUGGUCCUUGUCCAACCAAAUUACACGUCCAUUUCUAACCUAUUUCUGAGACAGAGUUUCCCCAAAUUGACAAAGUUCAAUACUUUGGUUUUGUGGUAGAAAUUCUCGUCGAUUUUGCUACUUUCGAGUUUCGGCAAUGUGAAAGGAGAGCCGCCCAAUUUUUUUUUUUGCAAUUUUUCUUAUCCACUGAAGCCCAACGUUAAGGAGCUUGUUGUUGUGGUCGAGUGAAGAUAUUGGGAAGAUAUUCCUUUCAUUUUUGCUACUUCCGAUUUUGUGGUAGAUAUUCCCGUCGAUUUUGCUACUUUCGAGUUUCGGCAACAUGAAAGGAGAGCCGCCCAAUUUUUUUUUUAAUUGUUCUUGUCCGCCAAAGCCCAACGUUCAGGAGCUUCUUGUUGUGGUCGAGUGAAGAUAUUGGGAAGAUAUUCCUUUCAUUUUUCCUACUUCCGGCAAGGUGGAAGGAAAGCCACACUAUACGGGUGAAGAUCUUCCAUUUUUGCAUAUUUGAAGGUAGCUUUAUUCAUCUAAAUAUGUUCUUUAACUGGAAAAAGUGCCAUUACAUCUACUGUUAUAAUUUAGAGGGUUUAUCUAGACUGGAUGAAAAUAGUGAUUAACAUCGAAUAUCCUUCUCGUUAUGAAUAUAAAUUGUUUCUUGGUAAAGCAGCCUGAUACGUUAGCGUGAAUGCAACUGGCGUGAAUAGAUUGAUUAGCCUGAGGUAAAACAUUAGCGUGAAUGUAUUUACCACAUUCUUUAUCUUCAGCAACUAGCAUGUUUUGAUUAAUUAUGAAAACAGUUCAUAGUUUAACAAGCAUGGGUGCCCCAAAGAUUUGAACCUGUAAUUUAUGAACAUAAAAUUCUUCGUAUGUUAAAUAGAUUGAUUUUCUAUCGUACAAUAGAUAGUUGUUGUAUAUGUUCACUGAACAUGAAUGGUGUUUUUUUUCACAGCGUAAUAAAGUAUGGAUUUGAAUGUGUAAGACAAGCAGGACGAUGUUUUAGUGCAAUCUAAUAAUGUUGAGUUGCUGGAGUCCGGGAACGUAGUGGAAGGUGUAACAUCAGGCGGAGAUGGUGUAAUUGUGCCCGAAGUGGGUAUGUUGUUUAAAAGUGAAGUAGAUAUGUAUGAUUUCUACAAGAAAUAUGCUUAUGCGGUGGGUUUUUCAGUUAAGAAAAGGAAUUCAAAAAAAGGAGACGGUGGAGUUGUGAGAUACAUGACGUUGACAUGUAGUCGUGAAGGCGGAAUAAUCAGUAAUAGUAGCGGUUCUUUGAAGCCGCAACUCACAGUUAAAAUGGGUUGUAAGGCUAGGAUAUCUGGAUCUUCCGGUAUUUUUGGAAAUUGGAGAAUUAAUGCAGUAAAUCUCGACCAUAAUCAUGAAACAAGUCCUUCUAAAUCCAGGUUAUAUAGGUGCAACAAGCACUUGAGUGCACAUGUGAAACAACAGCUUCAAGUGAAUGAUUUAGCGGGAAUCCCAUUGCAUAAAAGUUACAACUCUAUUGUUGUAGAAGCAGAUGAAUAUGAAAACAUGACAUGUAUUGAAAAAGAUUGCCGUAACUACAUAGAACAAGUAAGGCGUUUAAGACUUGGAAAAAGAGAUGCUGCAGCAAUUCAAACCUACUUUUCAAAAAUGCAAGCACAGAGCCCUGGAUUUUACUUUAGUAUGGAUUUGGACGACAAGUCGCGACUCGGAAAUGUAUUUUGGGCAGAUAAUCGGUGUAGGCAGGCAUACAAGGAGUUCGGUGAUGUCGUUACGUUUGAUACCACUUAUCUAACUAACGAGUAUGAGAUGUCGUUCACCCCUUUUGUUGGAGUAAAUCAUCAUAGACAAUCAACACUGCUUGGAUGUGGUUUGGUAUCCAGUGAAGACACAGAUACUUUUAUAUGGUUAUUUAGGACUUGGCUUCAAUGCAUACACUAUCAUGCUCCACAUGGUAUAAUUACCGAUCAAGAUAGAGCAAUGCAAAAUGCAAUUCAGGUUGUUUUUUCAAAUACGAAACACAGAUGGUGUUUGUGGCACAUUUUAAAGAAGUUGCCGGAGAAACUUGGCUACCACGUGGAUAAAGGUUCCAUAUUUGGGGCUAUACAUGGUUUGGUAUAUGAUUUACAGUCUACUGGGAAAUUCGAAGUCGGUUGGAAAACAAUGAUUGACACAUAUGAGUUGCAUGAUAAUGAUUGGUUAUCUGGAUUGUACAAGAAUAGAGGGCGUUGGGUUCCAUACUUCUUCAAAAUCACUUUCUGGGCAGGUAUGUCUACUACACAAAAAAGUGAAAGUAUGAAUGCAUUCUUCGACGGUUACGUGCAUUCAAAAACCUCGUUGAAGCAGUUUGUCCAACAAUACGAACGUGCUCUUAGGAAUAAAGUUGAAAAGGAAUUUCAAGCUGAUUUUAAGUCAUUCUCGCAGAUGGUACCUUGUGCGACACAAUUUGAAAUGGAGCAACAAUAUCAAUCAAUUUACACCAUCUCAAAAUUUCGUGAAGUUCAAGCCAAAUUCACGGGGAAGGUGUAUUGUGACAUCCAAUCCACUUCGAAAGAUAGUUCCAAAGUGAUGUACGAAGUACGAGACACUAUUAUGUGUGAGGGCCAUCGGAGGAAACAAGACGUAUACCGUGUCUUAUGAGAGAGAUGAAUGUGAAAUUAUUUGUAGCUGUCACUUGUUCGAGUUUCGGGAAAUACUUUGCAGACAUGCUAUCACAGUGCUAGCACUAAAUGACGUCACACAUAUUACGGACAAGUAAAUACUGAGGAGAUGGAGGAGAGAUGUGCGUAGAGCACACACGAGGGUUGCUGUAAACUACAAUGGGUUGGUUAGUACUCCAGCUCAAAUGAGAUAUGAAGAGAUGUCUACUGGUUUUGCGCAGCUAGCAAACCUUGUUGCAGAUGAUGAAAGGCGUUCACUUGCAAUAAUAAAGUGGAUAAAAUGUCAAUGCGAAGAGCUUACGUCUACAAAAUCGAGUAUUGGAAGUAAGGUCGCAGCGCAAAACACUGUUCAGGUCCUCAAUCAGUGCACUGAUGUGGCAAAUAGUACGAGUGUUAGCAUAUUGGAUCCGAAGUUGACUUGAAGAAAGGGAGCGCCAAAGAAACUUAGAAGAAAAAGCCCGUUGGAGAUUGUAUCAAAGAAAGCGGAAGUAUGCUUUAUUCUUUGAUUGUAUUUUGCUCAGUUGUUUUGAAUUAAGAUCAAAAAUAACUUUGUUGCACAUGCAGUCCGGUUCGAAGUCAGCCACUUGUAAGAGAUCGACAAAGAGCAACACUAGUAUGCUUGAUGGAGGAUUUGACGUCCAGCUUCAUCAAGCACAACUCCAUGCUGACGCCGUUCCAUAUUUGUCCAACUCCAUGUUGACGCCAAACUCCCUUCCACAAUAUUCCAUUCCCACGCCAUUCACCUAUCACAGCACGUACCAUCUGCAAACGUUAUGUAUAAUUCGCAAGGUAUAAAGUUAUGUCUUUGAUGUAAAUUGAAAAAUCAUUUUCUCAUGAUUGCUUUAUUUAACGUUGACAAUGUAUUUUAUUGUAAGUCAAAAUAUGUUGUUUCACUAUCCAAGCUUACCGAACGAAGGUGGAAGAGGCAUUUGAGUGGGUUGUUUCACAAUGUUAUUGAUUUUUUGGUGUACUCGUAGAUAUAUUAUUAUAUAACAGUAGUCAUAAAGGAAAAUGAAUUGUAGUUUUUCUUGGCUUUAUAUCCUGAAGCUAAGGCAUGGUGCUUUUUUUUUUUUGGUCAAUGGCAAAAAUCUCAUAAUGUGCCACCAUGGUAUUGUUGCUGUUCAUUCUUGUUUUCUGACAUUGCGUCUUUGCUAUUUUAAGAAUUUGACCUCUUCUUCUAGAUAUGGAGGAUUUCUUUUAGCUGGUCAUAUCCUGUUUCCCUAUUAAUGCAACAACAAUUGCAAGGGUUAAAACUAGAGAGAUAUAUCAGUCCUGUAGAGAAAGAACUUGCUGGUGCAGAGACAACAUGCUGGUGCAUCAGCUGUAGUAAGCAAGCUGCCAUUGGUUCAGAGGCUGUUGUCAAAGUUACUGGUUGUUUUAGUCGCUUAUUGCUGGGAGGAAUUCAAUGAAGAUGAUUGGAAUUUUGUUUUAAUUCGGUCAAGAUUUUGUUGCUGAAAGUUGCUGAAAAUGUGAAUGAAUUUGUACAACAUAGCUCUUAUGGUUGUCGAAAAUUUUUUAUUAGCUUUUCUUUUAAUUCCUUUGGUUAGAUGUAUGCUGAAUUUUACCAGAGAACUAACUGGUUAUGGAAAAUGUAUGCUGAUUUGUACAAGCUAAAUGUUGAAUUGUUCUCUAAUUCAUUUGGUUACCUUCCAUUAUAACAUAAAACCAUGCAACUGACUUUAGCACAUUGUUUAUAGCUUCUUAUAUCUAGUAAGCUAGCAUCUAAUAUUCAAGUGAAAACAUAUGACAGGAAAAGAGCAGCAUGUUGAACCCAAUAAUGACCAGCAUGUAUCAUAAUGAAAGGCCAGUAUGUUGAAAGGCCAACAUGUUUAGAGCUAGCAUCUGAUAAUGACUACUGAAAUAUCAAAAUGAAAAGCCAGCAUGUUGAACCCAAACAGCAAAAUGUAGUCACAAUGUUAAAACAGGAAAUAGCAUUACAACAUGUUUUUACGUCCAUAGUAGUCAUAUAUGUGCAAAUCUAUCUCAUGUUACUUGUUCCAUAACUAUCUAGUAAACAAACUAGUCGUUUCCCUUUUGCAUUGCCUUCCACGCUAACUUUUUCCACCCGAAUCCUCACGUCCACCGAAAUUUGGAGGUGUUCUUCGUCGUUUAUUCGAAUUUGAGAUUGGAAAGUACGGGACAAGUCUUCAAGUAUUUCAUUCUUCACAUGGUUAAUCAAGUUUGCACUACUAUGUCCAGAUGGACCGCUGGAGUACUCUUUGACAACCCACUCCCAAAAGCCGCAGUUGUUACUGCAACGAAGGAAUAAUUUUCCUUUGUUCUUAUUCUCCUUCUCCACCACAAAACAUUUCUCAAAUCCUUGUUGACAUCGUUUGCACUGAUGUUUCUUUAUACAAUCGGCAAAGAAGUGAUCUUUAGCUCUACAACUGUGACAUAUUCCAAAAUUCCUUCCAAGCAUUCUGAGAUGGGAAUCAACCACCAACAACGAAGAUGAAGUCAAUAACAACGAUAUACAACAAUAAUAUGUACUAUGUCAACACAACAUGAUCACAAAUAUACUGGCCAUAACAAUGACUGCCACAAGUUGCAGGGCAACUUCUCAAUACGGCGAAAACUGUGAAUUAACCACAUUUACAAAGAAAAUCUUCUAUAGAAAACUGAAUUUAUAAAAAUGAGCAUUUCGUAGGACAUUGUCAAGUGAUGAAACGAUAACAAUGACUCUUCCUUCUAUGAAUUACUGUAAUAUCAUGGAAGUUGCAAUUUUCACUAAACACUAUCAAUUUUCACAAAAUUCGUCGAGUUUUGAUCAUACGAGUCCCCAAUUCAUUUCAUUUCACAUAUAUUCCUCCAAUCCUAUCAACCCCAUUUACCCCAAUAGGCACAUAACAACUUCCUGUAAGCAAGAAUUUAUGAAAUACAGAACAUUGUACCUAAGCAAAGCUGAAAAAAUGGAAAAUGAUGAAAUACAAAUUAUUCUACCUACUUGCGAGGUCCGGUGGUUUGCAACGACGGGUCGUUCACGAAGAUGCAACGCUAUGGAUCCUUCCACGGUAACUACGACCAUCGACAAUGAGGGGUUUGAUAGUGACUGGAAACAAUGGGUCAAGCGAUGGCGAAGCCCUUAUAUUACGCUGCUUGGAAUUGUGGCUGGCGAUGGAAACUUUUGCAGAUGGUUUCGAAUUUGGGAAGAUAGAUUUGGGGAAUGGGGUUUUCUUUUGGUUCGAGGAGAGAGAGAGAGAUUUGGGGGCUAGGUUCUGUUCUGGUUCGGGAAGAGAGAAUUUGGUUGAGGAAAUGAAGGGAGAAACAACUAUUUUCCUAAUAUCUUUCGUUUAUUUUUUAAUUCUUUUCAGUAAUUUUUUUUCCACGUCAGUCUAUUUUCUAAUCUGUUUGUGAGUCUAUCCGAGUAGCGUUGUCCUAUUGGAUUUGCGUUUUGUUACGUUUACAUCCAAAGUUGACGCUCCAAAUGACAACUCUCUCACAAGAGGGGACCGAAGAUUCUUUAAUUACGCACGACUUGCCUCUUGUGAGGGAACUGUCAUCCGAUGUAUCAAUCCUGAAUGUACAAACAGCAAAACCUUAGGCUCAAAAUUCAUAAUUUUUUUCCCCCUCUUCAGACCAACUUAUGAGUAUACAUUGAGUAACAAGACGAACACAUCACACCACAGCCUCCUUCCAUUCAGGACAAAAAUUAAGUCAAAACUAAAUUAAUUAAUUAUAUUACAACAAAACCGUCAAAAAAACAACUCUCACCGGCCAUACUAUUUAGCAAACUACACAGACGGACAGCUUAACCAAAUUGCAUAACCAGGUCAGCUGCCAUCUUCCAUAUCCCAAAUUUACGGUAGGAACCUGAAACCACCACACUCAAACUGCAACCAUCAUCCCAAAUUUACGUACAUCACCUGUUUGACUCUGAUAUUAAAGCCAGGACCACAUUGUCAUCAUUAUUUGAUUCCAUGGCAAGCUGGAACGGCAUUGUAUCUUGCUCAUUCAUAGCUCGUGGAUCAGCUCCCCUAGAGUAAAUACAGAAUUACAACUAACUUGUGAGUGCAAAAUCAACUAAAUAAACUAAAAAACUUCAGAAAAGAUAUUUUCCAGUUCCCUUUUUCUACUACUGGUGUUAAAAGUCUUCUGAGAAGAAUAUAAUACAAGACACAUUCUGAUAUUGAAAUCAUUGAUCGCAGAUUAUUGACCUUGUAAGAAGCAGCUUGGCAAAUGUAGUUUUGCCUCUGGCAAUACAAGAAUGAAGAGGUGUGUGACCCCUUGAAUCAGAAGCAUUUAUGUCUGCACCGUAUUGCAGAAGAAGCUCUAUCAUUCCGAUGUCCGCAGUUUCACAAGCGAGGUGAAGCAACGAGCAUCCAUGAAGACAUUCCAUAACGACAGUGUCUUCACCUGUACUAACCAUGCUUGAUGAUGGCUCCAAGCAACCAGAGCACUGAUCAAAGGUGGUUCCUUCUUGAUACACUGUUAGUUUGGCAAGGGUACGAGAAGAGUUGAAAGCUCCUUGCCCAUAGCUAGUAUUUACAUCAGCAUCUGAGUUAACUAUCAGUCUAUACACAGCCUUCUUAUCAUUAGCACGUACAGCAUCCCAUAACUGUUGUGCAACUGAACGAUUUUCCUUGGAUUUCCAAACGAAAAUUUUUUCUGCAUACUGUGGUAAAGAAAAGAACAUAUGCAUGCUCUAUCAGGGGAAAAAAAUUGAAUAAUCACCCAUUAGAAGGUAUCACAGAUCAUUUGCCUGAAUUAUUUAUUACAUAGCCAUUUUUAGAGACAAGCGGCAAGUCUAAAUAGCUCUUCAAGCUUAUUUCCCAAUUGAGAAUUCAUUCAAAGGCGCUGAUUCUUGUUCUUUUAACCACUUGUUCUUCUUAAAAUAUUGUCAUACAACAGGAGAGUGUACGCAAAAUUAGAAAUGUAAACCCAUGUUAACAUCAAAAGACCCAUGCUGACCUGGGGUGUUGUGAAUAUCUUCACAAUUUAAAGGCAAAAACCAGAUAUACGAAAUAUUUUUCUACUCACACUAUGUUUGGUUCUCAUUUUUUCCAAAAUACACUUCUCUCUCUUUUUUUCAACCACACAUUCUUUAAUAAAAUAAUAUUAUAUGCAAAUCCAAAACUUUUCCUUAUUUUUUAACCAUACAUUCUCCAUCAAUCAAUUAUUCCAAAAUGCAUUUUUUCAAUUUAAUGGGGCUCAAACAAGUCCUCAAAGUUACAAGAGAAACGAUCAACGAAAUAAGGGCUAAAUCAAGGACAUGAAUCUAAGAGAGUGAAAAAAGCAGUACCUUUGCAUGAAUAAAUUGUUCCUUUGUUGAAAUUGAAUCAGUAGGACUGGGCUUGCUGAAGUAAACUAUUUGCUGUUUAUUAGGCCUGUACAAGCUUCAGUAUGUAAUAAUAAAUCAGUAAUCUAUUGGUAAAAUGAAAUUCAAAAUAAGAAAAAUGAUUAUUAUAUACAAAAUCGAAACAUGUUUCAUAAUUAAGGAGCUAUUUACCUAGUAGGGCCAAGAUCAACCUGGAAGACACCCUUCGACUGCAACAAUUCCUCCCAGACAGAAUUUGAAAAGGUGUUGCCCAGAGACUGAAACAGAUUUAUGACAGCUGGAUCCCAAACUUUAACAUCAAGAGUCAGUGACCUCACCUGCAAGGGGGAAUACGAAACUAACUAAUAAUACUUUUCAUAUACAGAAGCCAAAUUAAAGCUGUCAUAUGAAUAGCAGUUAAACAGAUAUGUUUGAAGAUAAUCACUAUUGGCUUCAAAAAGAAAUUAUGAAAAUCACGAGUAUCUACCUACCUCUCCCACUUGAGAAUCUAAUAAAAUACAUGAUACAAGAGUGAAAACUUUGAUAGCCAAAUAGAUGUUAGGACGUAUAGAAUGUGCUGAUUCCAAAACCCGAAAAAAAAAAAUAAUAAUAAUAAUAAUAAUGAAAAAUGAAAACCUACGUUAACAGGUUUAAAUAGUUGAGGCUACUUCUUUAGUUCAUUAAUCCAAAGGGCAUUACUUAAUUUAAAUCAAAACUUCUUCAAACAAUGGGGAAUAGGCAAGUUCUCAUAUCAAGUACACAAUCCCCUCAAAACAUCCAGUACAAGUCAUUUACUGGUGUCGAAUGACAAUGCUAUAUUAUAUACCUUAGAUAUGUGCACCCCAAGAUUCCGAUGAACACCAGAGCAUUCAAUGCAGACAAGAACACCUAGAUUCAAGGAUGCCCAAUCUGGUUCAGAAGCACCACAAUCGGCACACUUGUUGUUACCACAUACUUUCUGCAAUAUGUCAAUUGGCUUUUCACUUUUCAGAACAGAUCUUUGGUGUUGUGAGCUUCUCAAAGAGCGUUCUAUGUGCACAGAGGCAAGCCUCUCAGGUAUGUAUUCUUCAACUGCUCCAUGAUCAAAGUCAGGGCUUUCCAAUGAACUACUUUCACUUGUAGAUCGAUGAUGGCCACUGCCCAUUGGACUACCAGGCAAACACUGGAAAACAACGAGUCCAAUUAUUGGAGCAUUUGAAAAUCAAUUUAUAAGUAAAAAUAAAAAAAUAAUAAAAAAAAGGUUCUUGAUAAAUUACCCUUUCAGGAGCCUGAGAACUCAGUAAUGACGCAAUUACCCCAGUAAUCUUCUCGAUCCAAUCCAUUUGAUCUAAGGCACUCUCAGCCUGCACUGACAGGCAAAAGGUGGAAAUUUUUACCAUGCAAACUAUCAACCAUCAACAUGAGGCAGCCCAUUGUGUAUUAGGCACAACCGCUAAGUCAAAAAUUAGUUCAUUAAAAGUGAAAAACAUACCAAAAUUUGAAGAUGAGAGUACAAAACCAGAUACUUUACCUGUAAUGUGUAGUUUUUUGUUGGUGAUAUAAUCCGGAAGCAGAACCUAAGAUCCGACUGGUCAGCAUUAACUUUAAUCGUUGAUGUCAACAGGUUAACAGUGUUAUGAGCAACAGAUUUUUCAUCAUGUACGCCACCAUGAUGAUGAGAAGACAGCCAACGGCUAAGCAGCCCAGAACCAAGUUCAGAACUAUUCCUUUGGCUAGAAAGUUGACUGCCAGACCCCUACAGUGCAUAAAUGUAAUGUUCUUUAAAAUGGGGUAAAAAAUAAAAAAGAUACUGAUGAGUUCACUUUUUAAGAUAUACUUCAAAUAUGUACUCACUGAUGGUUUGCUGUUUUGUUUGCGAUAAUAAUACAACAUUCCUCUGCUAUCAAGAACAAAGAACCUUCUUUUCCAGUCACCUCUCAUGUUUGAGGAACGUUUGGAAAGAUAACCUUGUCUAAUUGUUUGAACCUGAAAAUUUUACAACCUUUAAUGAGGUAUAAAAGAAGGAAAAGCAACAAUUAAGAAUGUUAGAGAUAAAUAACACAUUAAUGACAAUAUGAGGUCAGCAUUAAUUUCAGUGAUCUUUGAACCUUUCCUUUUGCAGCAGAUUGCAUAACAGCCUCUAUCAUCUUAUGUGAACUUCUCCCAAUAGAUUGUAUUCCAUCCCCAUUAGGAGAUCCAUUAGAACCAUUUGAGGACCAUCUGCUUUCUCUAUCAAUCUGUCUUUUGUAAUCUUGCAUCCUUUCGUUAAGAGCUGACUGCUCAUAGUUGGAUCGUUCUCUUGAUUGCUUUGCAUAAGUUGAGACCUGUAAUACAUGUAUGUCGACCAUUCAAGCACUGUUGUGAUGGAGAUACAGAUAAAGACAGAGAUUGUUUAUAUAGGAUUUCAAAUAAGAGUUUAAUUAAAAUAAUGAUUUUUUAGAUGAGAUUAAAUUACAUUUAAUAUUUCAAUAAGAUUUUAAUUUAUUAUAAGUUCGUUUGGUUUUAAUUUCUUUUAAGUUUAUUGGCUCUAUAGAGGGCUUAUUCAUUGUAAUAUUGACCCUUGAUGACCCUAUUUUAUAAAAAAAAAAAAAAAAAAAGACCCUUGAUUGUCAAUUGGAUUCUCUCUCCUUUCGAGAGUUCCUUUAAAUACAAUGUGUCAAGAAAAUUACCCGGCUAGUAAUCUAAAAUUCCAUCAACUAUGCCUACCUUAGAUGGAAACAAAUAACUCUAUACUAGAUAUAGAAUAUUGACAUCUAUUAUCCCCUAAAUACAGCAAUCAUCCGUAAAUAUAGAUCCAACUAACAUCCCCCUCAAAUUAAUGCUGAUGGAUUAAUAAGCACCAAUUUGAUCACAAGGAACUGAUGACACUGACAAGUCAUGACCUUUGUAAAAGUAUCAGCUAUCUAGAGGGCAGUGGAAAUAUGAGGAAGAGAAAUGACACGAGCAUUUAAGGCCUCUCGAGUAGAAUGACAUCCACCUUAAUGUGCUUCGUACGCUCAUGGUAAAUAAAAUUAGCAACAAUCUGAAUAACACUUGUAUUAUCUACAUGAAGAGGACUACGAGCAGGCUGUAAAAAACCAAUCUUAGUUAGAAGGCCACAAAGCCAGGCAAUCCCAAAACAACAGACAUUGCAUGAUAUUCAAAUUCUGUAGACGAUUUAGAAACACAAGCCUUUUUUUUUUUUCCGCUCUUCCAGGAAAUUAAAGAAUCACCAAGAAAUAUGCACCAACCAGUGAAAAAUCUUCGAGUGUCAGAACAUCUGGCCCAAUUUGCAUCACUAUAAGCAGUGAAGACGAAGAGGAGUCAUUGCAGAGAAAAAUAAACCACGACUAGGAGUGCCUCGGAGAUAACGAAUGAUACAACGAACAACAAUAAGUAAUGAUUGAGUGGAGUUUGCAUAAACUUGCUAACUUGCUAGACUGGGAAAGAUAUAUCCAGUGAAGUAAUAGUCAGAUAAUUUAAAAUCCCCACUAGCCGGCGAUACUUAAUGGGAUCAUAUAGAUGAUCACCCUCCUCGUUACGAUACGUUUUGUUGACUUCCAUAUUAGUAUCUACAGAAGAUGAAUCCUAAAGACUGAUCAAAUCCCUUGUGUACUUAUUUUGAUUUAAGAGGAUACCAGAAGGACUAGUGUGAACUUCCAACCUUAAGAAAUAUGACAAAGGACUAAGGUCCUCCAUGUGAAAUGAAGUCUAAAGAUGUUGCUGUAGAGAUGUAAUCAAGGAGGAAUCCAUCCUAAUUAUAACAAUGUCAUCAAUAUAGACAACGAGAAGAACAAUGCCAGUAGAAGUCUGGCAAAGAAAAAAGGAAGAAUCAUAUCUGCUCUGUUGAAAUGAAAACUGAAGUAGGGUAGUUCGAAACUUGUCAAACCAAGCCUGUGGAGCUUGUUUUAGCCCAUAUGACGAAAACUUCAUCUUAGGACAUCUGAUGAACAAAUGGUGGUCAGACUAGAGGUAGUGCCAUGUAAAUAUCCUCUUUGAGAUCACCAUGGAGAAAAGCCUUUUUGACAUCCAUUUGAUGAAGUGGCCGACCUUGGGAAGCAGCAAUAGAAAUAAUAGUCCGUAUUGUAGUCAUCUUAGCGAUUGGGGCAAAAGUCUCUUCAUAGUCCAGUCAUCUUAGCGAUUGGGGCAAAAGUCUCUUCAUAGUCCACCCCAUAGUCCUGUCUAUUGCCAUAGACUACCAAUCGUGCCUUGUAAUGAUCCAAAGUCCCAUCAGAACGAAGUUUGAUAGAAUAAAUCCACUUACACCAAUGGCUUGAACAUUAGUAAGACAAGAAACGUCCCGAGUAUGAUUAUCCAGAAGAGCUCUAAAUUCCUCUGCCAUGGCCUCUCGCCACAUGCAUGCUGAAUAGCCUUGGAAUAACAUGAAGGAAUAUGUAUAGUAAACAAUGUAGCAUGAAGAGAUGUAUCUGAAAAACCAUACCGAUCAGGAAGACGAGAUUCUAGUAAAGAGACAAGGUAUGGUGGCACCCAAAUCAUCUACUAAAAGUACAAUUGGAGUAGGCUCAAAUGGUAGGUCGAUAGCAGAAGGGACAAUCUGAACAGGAUCAGAUGGUAGGUAAGGCUGAGGAAGAGGCAAAGUCAAUUUUCUUCGUUCAUACACCAAUCCAGUAACAAAUGAGCGAAAUUGAAAUUCUCAGGUAGAAUAAUUCUUACCCGUGAAUUUCACACCAAAGGAAUUCAAAUUUCUAGAAGCCAUUGUAAAAUAUUAACGUAAUAGCAAAAAUAGACAACAAAUUUGACAAUACUAAGAAGCCCAAGUGCCACCCGAUUUAUGCUAAUAAAUAAGCCAAAAAUCUGGCCAAAGAAUUAGGAAUGGCAAUUUGAAUCGUCAAAAUCGAAAAUCGUGGUUAACCGAACCGAACGGGGCUAAAAAAGUCGAAUCGAUGUUGCAAUGGGGAGGAUAUGGUAUUUGAUUUUAAUUACCCGGUUCGGGGCGGUGUAGGUAUGGUAUUUAUGCCAUCGCCCCCGAACCGAACUGAUUACCCGUUAAAUUAAUCUUUUUCCAUCUAAAUAGCAAUCCAAUGCAAAACAUGUAUAAAAAAAUAAUAAUAAUAAAUAAAAGAUAAUAAAAAAAUCUAAUUUUAUAAACUCCACAAGGGCCUUUUUUCUUCCUUUACAGUCACACAUGAUGGUUAUCAACUUACUCGCUCUUGAAGCAAACUCAAUCAACAAUUUCAGCUUCAAAAAACUUAUUCUCUUACGGUAAAUUUGAUCAUUUGAUUAGUUUUAGACAUCUGGAUUGACUAGAAAUUAAGUAUACACGGCAUUUGCCUUUCUUAAUUUGGUCAUCAGUAACCUAGACAUCACCCUUGGUACCAUAAAUCGUCGCCUUUUUACAAAUGUACCCUUUAUCGGUCCUUCGUACAAUUUUGAUCUGGUAAGUGAUCAACAACGCAAAUUGUUUGAAGUACUCCAAUAAAAUCACUCGAUUAUCAGUUGAUAACCAUCGUGUGUGAUUUUUUUAUAAUUAUUUUUUUUAAUUUGAUGACUAGACCUAUGAAAAAUAAUUUAUUUUCAUGGUUAUUAACCGAACCAAACCGAAUCGAACCGAAACCGACUUGCGUGGUUAUGGUGCGGUUAUGGUAUGAUAAAAAAAUUGGCAGUUCGGUGAUGGUUUUGGCAGAACCGAACCUUUGUCAACCUUACAAAGAAUGCACUUUUACCUACGUCAAAAGCAAUCUAGAAAUAUUAAAACCCAAAUAAGACAACCAACACAAAAUAGCCCAAUUUAAGAAAUCAAGAGCCCAAACUCAAAUUAUAGUAACAAGCCCAAGAUUUCAGCCCCAAAUUAUUAACUCCCUUCCAGCCCACGACACAAUUCAACAACAGAGAUCAGCUGUCCCAAUCUCAUGCAACGCGAUUGAAGGUUGCUUACCAAAAAGGAAGAAGCUGGAAUCAUUUUGCAACCAAAAGACACAAUCAAUUAUUAUGACACCAAAAGAACCCGCCGUCUAUCAAUCAAGUCCAGCAGAGUCACCGAAGCCACACAACCAAGAAAUCACUGACAAUUCCUCGACAAAAAUCACUGGCACCACGAAAUUAAAAUCCCAGCAAUCGUACCAUAAAGGUAAAUGUCGAUUGCUCAAAAAUCUCCUCACGUCAGAACACCAGAAAGUUUCAACACCAAAGGAAACUGAAAAUUUGAGUUUCCUUAACCAAAGUAAAAUUCCAGAAAAUUGAAAAUUAAAUUUCUCGCUCUAAUACCAUGUCAAUUGGAUUCUAUCUCUCCUUUUGAGAGUUCCUUCCCUUAAAUACAAAGUGUUGAGAAAAUUAGAAGGCCAAUAAUAUGUUAUUCCAUCAAUUACACCUACCUUAGACGGAAACAAAUAACUUUAUACUAGAUAUAAAAUAUUGACAUCGAUUAUCCCCUAAAUACAAUAAUCAUCCGUAAAUAUAUAUUCAACUAGCAUUGAUUAUAUGUGAUAAAUUGCCUCCUGCCCUAAUUUCUUCUCUUCUUUGGUCCCCUUUCUUUUCAUAUAUCUUCUUUUUCGUCGUCGAAUUGUUACGCUCCUGCGUCAUGAAGUCUUGUUAAGAAACUCAAGAAGGAUUAUCCCAGAUGGUAAAACAUUGGGAAAUUAUGUUCUUUAACCUACAGUAACAAGCACAUCUUGCUCCAAGUUCAAAACAGGUAAAUCAGUUGAAUUAUUCUAACUAUACAAAGUAAGAAAGCAGUCGAUACAACAACAGUGAACAAUCCCAAAAACUGAAUCUGCAAGAAACAACAUGUAAACGCACAACAAACCUGAUUUAUAUAUGGUUCCAUCUGAUGCAACAGCUCAUAACCCUACAAGAAAACAAAUUAUUAAAAAGCUUGAGAAAUUAAAUGCUAGAAAAAAGAAAAAUAUGAAGUUCAAGCAUUUAAAGUUACCUGUUUAAAAUAACGAAGAUGAGCUGCCAUUGUUUCACUAACGGCUUCCAAAAAUUCAAACCUUUUUUUCACUUCAACAUUGGAGAGAGCAGUUACCUGGUUGAUGUACAUCCAAAUAAGAGAAAUGAAAGAAGUGCUUGCAGGCUGAAAAAUAAUCUAAUGAAAGUCAGAAGGGAAUGACAUCACCCACCAGACUAAAACGAGCUUGCUCAAAAUUUGACCGAGCAUGAUAGAGCUCCUGAAAAUGUUCCGGACAACAUGAGAAUAUGUAGCAUAUAGGUGCUACUUCUUAUACACACAUGAAUAAGUAGCUUCAAUCUCCAUAUUUUACCUCCUCCAGGACUGAUACUACAUCACUUUUUGUUCCUUUCCUCAAUGACAAAAAUUUCUCUCGAGCCUAAAACCAUAGCAUAUGUAUUAGAACUAAAAUAUGUGUUGCAAUAACAAUCCGGUUAGCAAUCCAAUAUCUACAAAAGGUUAUUGAUACAAAAGGACCAUAAAUUUCUCCUCGAUAAAGAAAAACUGUUUACAAAAAUUUCUUCUGCAUUAGAAUCAGAAGAGAACCAAGAUGGUGCUGGUAUUAUAGUAUUUACAGUAACUAUUUUGGUUUUCCAAUCUACUUGUCUACAUGAAUGUCAGUUACAAAUGCUGGAAAUUAUUUCCUUCACCUUGGACAACUAAAUGUUAUUGUUUGUGGAAAUUCCAAGGAAGCCACAAUAAAUUGGCAGCGCAGAUUCAAUGAAGCAUAAACAGUAUGGAGGGUUUGAAUUGUCACAACAAAUUCUUAACAUCACUGUUUAUGUGAAUAAAUCCUGUUUUGCAAUAGGUCACAUAUUGCAGCAUAUAUUAAUAAUAUCAAAGAUCCGUUGUACAAUUAGACAAAUAGUGAAUUUUGUCAAGAACACAAAUCUUUUUCAAAUAGUGUGGACAUAAUAUAAAUUAGUGCUUCAACAAGUUGUUACCUUCAAACAAAUUCCUACAGGACAAAAUAAUUAACCAUGAGAAAAAAGGGGUGCAGCGGAGAAUUUGAGAAGCUGUAUUAAAAGAUCACCUGAUCAUAAAGAAGAGUAGCCUUGUCAAAGCGUUUCCGUGUUUCCUGCAUAAGAAAUUCAAUAGAGAAACUAAUAAAAUAUAAAUUUUGAAAUUAAAACAACAUCACUGAUAUAUAAUGACGUGUGAAAUCUCGUAAGUAAAACAAAUUCAGUAAACUAAACGUCAAAAAUCAUAUAGAAGCCAACUUAAAUCAUACAAAUUUCAAUUACAAGUUUACUCUUAUCAAAAUAAAUUUAGGUCAGCUGAACGAAUCUUUUAUUGUAAAAUCUCGAGUUUCUCCUUUACUACGGAACUCUUCAUCCAUUCUUGACAUAUCUUUUUAUACCCUAAAAUUUCAUUAUCUCAGUCAUUAACCACAAGAUAUCUAAUUCACCAAGACACUUCAAGACUUUAAUAGGAAUUGCUUUUCUCGUCUCUGUCAUCUUCAAAUACACCAUAAAUUUCGAGAAUCGAAUCCAUCCAGUAUGGUUUCGUAUCUUCAAAAUAGUUUGACAGGUUCCCAAGAUCCACGGCUCAUCUUCCAUUAAAUAAUUUUUUAAACUAAUGCCUUCAUAUUUUUGUGUCUUAUCUCUACAAUUAAGUAGUAUAGAUAAUAAUUGCAAGUAUACAGAAACAAAGUCGUCCUGCCAGCAAAUUGAGUCACUUGUAAACAAUGAACACAGAACGUGUAGAUCAUAGAAACAAGAAAUUUGGCUUCUUUCCAUCUUAUUUCCAUGUCAAAUCUUCAAGCUAUCGUGCUGCUUCUUCCUACGUCAAAACCUACACGAGAAAUUAUGUUUGAAUUUUAUUUAUUUUUUUAUUGUUUUAUUUUAUACAUAGGUAAGGGUUUUGUGUCUUGAAUUUCACGCCAAAAACUCCCCAAAAUGCUCUUAACUUGAACAAUUAAAGUCACAGGCAGAUUCCGUUAUUACAGGCUUCAGGCACAUGAGACCAUAAUGACAAAAAGAUAGAACUUACAAAUUUACAGUACCUUUACAUCGUGCAAAUCUAAGUUGACAAACUGCAGCAAUCGAUCAUUCAGCAUGUUCUCAACCUGAACGGACAAAGAGAGCAAUCUUAUAUGCAGGCAUAUAUCAUUACUUAGAAUCGAGUGUUCAUGUCUUCCCCUUUCUUAUACUUAUUUAUAACUUCUAUUCGAAGGAAAUAUUGACCUUGGGAAAAGAGAUUGCUUCAAAACCCAGGAAUAGGUAGUGGAUAUUGACUUCUUAGAGCAUCUCCAAGAGACUUUUUAUUUAUAAAGAGCAUCUUAUGUACUAUAGGCACCUUUAAAUUUAGAUAGGCAAAAUUUUAUACACUCCAAUAAACUCUCUAUUUUAGCACUUCAUUUUAUUUUUCUCAAGAAACGUUUAUUGAUUUCUCUUCAUAUUUUAUUUAACAUAAUUUUUUAUUUGUCAAUUGACUAAUCAAUUUAAAUGUGGUUUGAAUACUUUAAGAAGGAAUAUGUGAUUUAUUAAAUGUAAUCACUGUAAUUAUAAAUAGAAAGUGACUUUAGCUCUCUAAAUUUUGAUAGCCAAAUGGAUUAAAAUAGAGAGUCUAUUGGAGCUCCUUUUUAAGCGUUGACUCUAAAAUAAAGAGUAUUUUGUAUUUAAAGGAUCUUUUAGAGAUGCCCUUACUUUAAUAGAAUGGAGGCAUGGAAAUUUAUGUUGGCAACCAAAAGUGAAUGAAAAACAAUGUUUAUCAAAAAUCCUUACACAUCAUAUUGGUGUUAGCUACAGAUUAAAACAUAAAUGUAAACAAGAAGACAUGUUACUGAAGAAAAGUCUAAAAUUGUGAUAGAAAACUAAAAUGAAGGCAGGUCAGUACAUCAUCAAUUUUGCAACCUUUUAAAGAUAUGGGAAAAUUCACAAAGAUGGAUACAUCCAUUUCAAGAUUAACAUAAUGAAGAAUCAAAUAAGAAAACUAUGAAGCGAAAAGUGACGAGCUCAAAAUUUAAUAAACCUGAGUGAUUGACAUUAGUUAUUUUAGAUAUGAACCGCAGUCCUGAAGAAAUUAGUAGGAAACAAUAACAGACCUACUAUAAAAUCUACAAGUGAACUUUUUAAGCAAAGUUUUAUCAUUUAAGUUACACUGAUACAAAGUUCCAAAAUUUCAGAAAAUUUUAAAAAUAUUUUGAACUUCUUUAUAUAUCUCCAGUCUCUCAAGUAAAUUUAUAGAUUCACAGAGAAAAAUAAAAUCUAGGAAAACAGAACCAAUACAAUGUUCACCUGAGAUCGAAGAACUUCUUUAUAAGUCCCGAUUUCCCUCAGUGCAAUUGUAAAUUUUGUCAUAACAGGACCUACAAGUUGAGCAUAUUUUCCCUCAAUGUCAUUCCUUAUAAUCAAAACACAGAUGGGAGCUAAUACACCAAUAUAAAAAUAAGCUAGUAAGUAGCAAUUUAUCAUCAAUAACAUCAAAACAGAAAUAUUUAGAAGACAGAUAAAAAAUAACAUAAAACUAGGCAUAUGCUGUGCAUAACCACAAAUUAUAAAAGUAUGUCCAAGUCUUUAAAAAUUUACCUAUCGGGACAGUAGUAGUUUCUAGUUUCUAUGGAUGAUAGAAAAAAAUUCAUUAACAGAAAUGGCAUUACCUAUAAUGCUGCCACAUGACUAACUUCCCAAACAUACACACAGAGCAAAUAUUUGGCAAGCAAGAGACAUGCACACAGGUAUGGCAAUGAUCGCUGCAUGGAUUGAUGCUGAGACGCUAUUGUUGAGCCAGUGGCUGUUUAACUUGACGGAGGAGAAAGGUUUUCUAGUGUGGUGGUAUUGAUGCUACGGACCUUGACAGUUGGUUAGCAGAGAAUGGAGGUCAAGAAUGUGAGGGGUAAUGUUGGUGGGAAGAGGGGCAUAUAUAGCCCCUGUUUAUCUUCCAUUUAAUUAAAACUCUUUUUUCUCAAACUCAUUUUCAACUACACAUUCACACAAUAAAACAUUUUUCCAUUAAGAGUGGAGUUUUGAUUCAAAUUAAUAUAUUCUAAUCCUCUAGAAAUGAUUUUUGCAUCAUUUACCUUAGUGUUAAAUCAUUUAUGGGAUAGUCAAUACCACAAGGGCCAAAAUUGUCGAGGAGGAUCUACCAAUCAAAAAAAUUUAAGCGAAAAAAAAACUGGAAAGGAACCAAAUCAAAAUUAAUUAGCUCAAAUUCAAGUUAUGAACCAUGUAACUUUCUGGCACAAUGAAAAUUUGACUAUAGAUUCAUUGUGAUUAAUUACAUGAUUAGGGGGUAUCAAAGAAUUUCGGAAAUAAAGGGACUCUUAACCCAUGUAAGGCUCCAUUUUGAUUCCACGAUGAUUGCAUUAAGCCAAGCAUUAUAUGCAUAAAAAUUACAAACAAUAUUUUAUAUCGCACAACUUGAAAAAGUUAAUACAACACAUAUAAUCCAAUGGACUAAUAUGGAAGGUUGUCACAUGUAGUGAUGUUAUAUCCAAUGUUAUCAAAACCAGCUCGGCCCGGCCGGUUCAACCAGUAAAUCCAGGCCAAUGAUGCCCGGUUUACUACUUAUGACUAAACCACUUAAAAACCCACCUAACCAGCAGGUUUAACCAUAAACCGGUCGCGAUUUUGUGGUUUUCCCCUUUUUUUUUAGUUUAAAAAAUUUAAACUUCAUGAAUGGGCCUCAUAAACAAUAAUUCAAAUGCCCAAAGAGAAAUAUUGGAUGAUAUGAGCCUUUAAUAGAUAUACCUCUCUUAAAUGGUUUUAUAAACUUCCAAUAUUAAAUAGUGCAUUUUAUAGAGGCACUUCUCUCCAAUGGUUUCAUGAACUUCCAAGGUGGGAUAGUGGCAUAACAAAAAUGUUAACAAAUUAUUAAUAUGAAAAUAAAAAUUACUGUUUUCAUAGUAUUUUAUUAUUUUUGUAUAUAUUUAUUGCAUCCGGUUCAAUCUCAGUUUGACCCCGGUUUAACCUUUUGACCCUUGACCCUUCACCUUUUCUAGGUCAAUGAGCGGGCCGGUUUUCAAAAUAUUGGUUAUAUCUGCAUUGUGACUCCCAAAAUUGAAGUAAAUAAUAAAAAAUAAUAAUGAGAGAGACUGAGUUUCACGGCCAAAUAAAAGAAGAAUAAGUUGAUUCGUGUACACAGUGAGUCAAAUUUCCAAAAUAUUCCUGUACCUCCGAAAGCUACACUAAUGGGGUCAUUGUGCCCUCCACCAAAAGUCUCCAGAGAACUAGCAAAAGCUAUGUCUCCAUCAUAUCCCUCGCCAAGCCCUUCACUGCAAGUGGAAUAACAAGAUUGUGGAAAGUCAAUGAACAUCAGAAACCACAGAAAAAUAAGAGAAGGGAAGGCAAAAAUAAUGAAUAAGAGGUACAAAAUCAACAAGGUUAGUCUAGCCUUCCAGUCUCCAAAAAACAGAAGAAUGAUGCCAAACACUAGAAUCCAUGUAGAACCUUGGCGAAUCAUUUUGCUCAAAUUUUUAACUAGUAGCACAUAACAUUUAUAAAUUAGGAAUUACAAACUCAAAAGGCUUUGCCAACAAAAGUUCGGAAGUUCUUUCCACUUUCAAUUCCAAGUAAUUCCAUUAUCCACUGUAAAACCAUUAACAUCCAAGGAAAUAAUAAAUUAUUUUAACGGAAAGGUGUGAUAGGAGAAUGAUUAAUCAUUAGCACGAAUUAGAUAAAGAAAAUUAACCAGAUUGUCUAAAGUAUAAGUCGCCAUUUCAAAUAUGAUGACAUCACAUGCUAGUUAAAUCAAAGACAACAUUGUAUUGAUUUUAUAAAAGGAGGACAGACAAAAGAAUUGCCAAAGAUGAGUUCCAAAAAGAGAGCUGAAUACGACAAAAUGUACUCACGUGUAUUUUCGACAUCCUUUGUAGAACUUCAGACAUCUCUCCCUCAAGGAUUCAGAACUUUCCUCCAAGUUUUGUAUCUGUUAAAAAAUAGAAACCAUAAAUGUAAGGAAACCACAACAAAAAUAACCAAUAGGCAAUUAGAACCUACAAGCUAGUAAAAGAAAAGCAAGUGGCUGCCACAUUAGAUAUUAGAAAUUAAUGUGUAGAACACACGUCUAAGACCACUUCAUAUGCCGACAUAAUGAGCUUGGAUUCUCCAAAACAAUAUGUCAGCCAUUAAAGGAUUGCAAAAUUUUCGGUAACUCGUAUAAGUUUUAGUUGAUCUCUGAAUGCAGCACAUGUUGAUAAGUGAACAGUAAGUCACAAGUUAAUUACAACUCCUCAUACUUCUUUCAAUUGAUAACUAACAACUUGACUUACUUUCUUACUCAUUAAUUAAACAUGCAUUCAUCCCAAUAAAUUAAUGGAGGAUAGUAAUGGUCUGUCAAGUACAAAAUUUUCAGUUUUUCCUUGACAGGAACGACCUUGAGAGAAUGUAAUACAGGAACAGUUAGAAUAAUUUAUGAUUGCACAAUUAUGCCUGCUUGCUACACUUGAGAAGCUCAAACUAAAAGGAAUGUUAGCCUAGGCAGUACAGAGUCGAUAUCAAAACUUAAAAGAGCCUAUAUUUUCUUCUCACUUCUUGAAAUAUCAGCACAGUUCAAGAAUUCAUGGAGAGACUUAACAUAAUGCAUAUUAGCAGUUGGCGAAAACUUAAACCUCAAUAGUGGCUACUCUUCCAUAAUUCGCUUAAGUUAAUUGUACAAUUCUGACAAUUAAAAUCACAUUACUAACAAAAUUUUCCAAAAAACAAAAAUAAAAACUAAAAAAAUAACACGCUCUUCAAAAGAGAAUCUCCGGUAAAGUUUUGCGCAACAAAAAUAAAAUUGAUAACUUAAAACACCAGUCGAGCUGAAAACGUAAAUUUAAAUUAUCUCUCUUAUACUGAAUUUCUGGGAGACGAAAAAAUGAAGAAGAAAUUAACUGACCUGUUUACGAAACAUAGGAGAGUCGUCGAGCUUAUCAAAAUGCAUGUUUGUAAAACUAAUUCUUCUUCGGAUUGACAACUCUUAAUUAACAUCAAACGUUUACUGGUAGAUAAAGGCCCGAUCUUUUGCAGAGUUAAUUGAGCCAAUCUUUAACUGUUUAACAUAAAAGAAAAAUCUUCCACUUUUUGCUCCGAUCUCAAAUUUCAUCUGAACAAGAAAACAGUAACAGUUGCUCUAAAUCAGAGGCUAAAUAACAUAAAAAGAAAAUCUUGAAAGCAGGGCAUGAUUUUUUUGUGAAAAAUAUAAUGUGAGCAUGAUUUUAUGUUGGGACGGGUAAAAAGAAUGUGUUUAUACAAAACCCUAGGAAAAAAAAAAACAAGGUUAAGAAGAAGAGUGAGAGUGAAGUGUUGGCAGUAAGAUUACAUGAAAAUCGCCUGUGUGUAAAUGGAAAGUCUUGGGAAUUGAUGAAUGUUUUUUUUUUUUUCCAGUAUAGAUUCUAAUUGAAAUGUUUUUCGUUUUCUUUUUGGCUUUUUUGGAGUGAUUGAUGAUAGCUUUUUAUUUUCAUUUGUCUGUAAACUUCCAAAGCAUCUUACCAAAUAAGUUGUUGAGGCUACCAUCACCAUCUGCUUUAGACAAAUCAAAAUAAAAGAAGAGAAAAAAUUGAUGAAAAAGAGAUGGACUCACUUCUUCUAUUUUGCAUUCAUUUGUUUUUACUAAAAAUCAGAUUUAUAGUAAAUUUCAAUAUAAAUUAGUGUGAUAUAUGAUUAAAAUUAAUUGUUGAUUUUUAAUUAAAUUUUUAUCAAUUAUUUAUCUAAACCAGAUAACGACUUUGUAAAUAAUGAUUUUAUUUUAUUUUUAGGAAAAUUUAUAAUUAGAAAGUAAGAAAAAAUUUUAAAUUUACGUGUAUAAUUAUUUUAUUGAAAGAAUUUAAAGUUAUAAAUGAGUUUCAAAAUUUAUGGACUAAAAAAAAUUUGUUUUCUUGUAUUAUUGUUCAGUCUUUAGAUAUUUCCACUUAUUUCGUAAUGUUAUGGAGCAUGUUUGAACCCCAUUUUUUGGUGUAAAAUGUAAUUUGAAAUAGUAGAUUAAUGGAAAAUAUGUAAUUAGGAUGUGAGAAAAAGUUUUGAGUUUGAGUAUAAUAUUAUUUUAUUAAAAAACGUAUAUGUGAAAAUAAAAUAGAGAAAAAAAAAUUAUUUCUGAAAUCAAACAACGGAAUGAUUCUAAGUUCGCAUACAGAGAAGAAUUUUGAUAGGUGAAAUAUAAGGAGGGGACAGGUCUUUAUAUAAUUUUGAUAAGUUUUCAAGGGUCCCUCCCUAACAACAUUCUUAUUGCCUUCAUCAACCAAUCAACUCAUUUUCCUCCAUUUAAUAUUAAAUCAACCUAAAUAAAUAAAUAAUUUAAAAAGAGUACUAAAAUGUUAAAAAAAUAAUUUCUAACAACCUAGUCACGUGAUUUCAAUAUUUUGUCUUACAUUACUGCACCUAAAUGAAUAAAAUCAAAUAUCUAUCAAUUGGGACGGGACGGGACGGGGGAGGGAUUCGUGAAGUUUGACUAAGCCCCUUUUUGAUACAAAAUUUUUUAAUUUGAAUCCAACUUAACAAUUAAUUUUUAUUACACAUUUUAUGGGUUCAUAAUUUUUCAAUCACACAUUUCAACAAUUUUUAUCUAAAUUUAUUAAAAUCAAAUAUAGGCAUUGUAUAGUCAAGGUUAGCCAAUGUUUCACAACCAUUAUUUUCAAAUUUAUUUUUCUACAUAUUCAUUUACAAUCACACAUUCGCAUAAUAAAAUAUUCUACACAUAUAUCAAAAACUUUCAUCUACAUUUUAAUCACGCGUAAAAGUUGUGUAUCCCAUAAAAUAUGGGGUUAAAAUUAAUAGUUGGCUUUAGCAUAUAUAUUUAUCAAUUUUUAUUUAUUUUUAUUUUUAUUUUUUUUAGCUAAACCAAACAAGAACAUAAUGUUCUUACCACAAUUGAGUUUAGAGUAUUUUGACUUGUGAAAUAAUCUAUCUUCUACAAGAAAAAAAAUAGAAAAAAAUAUGAUACCGAGAUGAAACUGUAAAAAUAAAAUCAUAUUCGUGAGAAAUAUUUUUUGUCGUGAGAUUUUUAGGUAUUUAUUGACUCAAAGUAUAAAGUCAUAUUUUGUAAAGGAAGAAAUACCAUUUGCCAAAUGAAUGGUGGAUAUGUUCGAAUUAAGAAAGAUAAUAUUCAUUCAUUUUUUUUUCUAUAUAGAAAGUUGCGAAAAUCUAUACGAAGAAGUUAUUGGUCCAUAUUUUAGUCGUGAUAGUAAAAGUAAUAUACCCAAAAUUAAGAUUGAUAGAAGAUAAAUGAUAGAUCUGGUUCGAGAAAGAUAGAUUCCAAAGUUUGUAUUGUCAAAAAAAAAAAAAAAAAAAAAAGGAUUAAUUAAGUAAUCCCAGCAUUGCCUUGGAAUCUAUAUCAAUCAAGGAGGUAUGGCCUGGCCACUUUUUGACCACUAGCCAUUUCAAUUUCUUAAACUGGAUUAAUCUUAAUUGGUAGAAUUUUUUAGACAAAAUGAUGGGAGAUAACAAAUAAUAAACCUGAAAGUUUGUAGACACAAGAAAAGCCUCACUGUCACUGACUUAAUAAUAUUAAAUCAGACACAAAAGGGCAGAAAAAGAGAAAGUGAUGAAAGAAAGAAGGGAAAAGUGGAAGCCAUGGGGACACCAAAUGCAAAUGAGAGGGAUGCUUUUUUCACUUUUAACGCACACAAAUUUGCAAUUUUCCUGAUAAAAUUUGAUCACUGAACUCUCAAGGGUGGGCUUGGCCCAAUGUUUUGAAAAUCUACCCGUACAUUGACCCGAGAAAAAAGUUAAGGAUCCAGAAUCUAGAAUAUAUUUUUUAAUUUUCAUACUAUUAAUACAAAUUAAACACAAAUCAAUUUUUUUAAUUAGAUUUAUUACUAUACAAUUAGUAUCGACACUUCAAGAACUAACCCUUAUAUUGAAAUAAUUUGCUUUGUUAAAUGAGCUUAUUGAAAAUAAUAUCUAAAAUUAUUGUGCUAAUUUUUAAUUUUAAGUUAAAUUGGAAAAUUGGAUAAAUAAAAAAAUUUGAAGUGGAAAUUUCUAUAUUUGUUAGACCCAAAAUCAAAUUAAAAAUCUAAAAGCCAACAGGCAUUUGGAAUUUUUAUUUUUAUUUUUAUUUUUUUUUUUUUUGGGCAUAACGUAUAUCCCACUUUGGAAGUUUGAAUAUAACCUGAGGAAAGGUGCUAGUAUAAAAAAUUAAAACCAACCAACAGUUGUUGUUUGAUGAAAGGGGCUUUCACUUUGUUGCAAGGCCCAAUAGGUAAGUUUGAAAAACCAGUAAGUUUAAAAUAUAAAUUAACAAACAUAAAAACUGGUUAUAACUGUUAUCGAUUCAUCGGUUAACGGUUCAACCGCGAGGUUUAGUGAACUUUUAAUAGUGUGAUAUAUUCAAUUUAUAACAUGUAAUUGGCUUGGCUUUGGGCCCGGUUCCCGAUGCUACCGAUUGAACCGGUGAGGCCAGGUGAUUUUAAUAACAUUGCGUAGGCCUUUCAUCUUAUGCGUAAACAUAAACAAUAAAUGAACAACUCUCAAAAAAUAGGGUGUGAAGAUUGUUGAACCCACAUUGUAGUGAUUACGUGGACAACAGAUGUUGAGCCGCACUCACAUUUACACAAGCAAGUUUCAACAUGUUUUGAUCGGAAAUCCAAAUGGAGAUGGACGAUGUUUAUGAACACGGAAGAUACUUGAGAAACCAAUAAGUAAGUUUGAAAAAUAUAAAUUAACAAACCUGAAAAUCAGUUAUAAGUGUUACCGGUUCACCAGUUAGCGGUUCAACCGGGCGGUUUAGUGAAUUUUUAACAAUUUGUGAUAUAUCCGAUUUAUAUCAUAUAAUUGGCCUGCUUUGUGCUCAGUUCCCAGUUUUAUCGGUUGAACCAGCCGGGCAAGGCCAGUUUUAAUAACAUUGCUUGGGCCUUUCAUCUUAUGCAUAAACGUAAACACUGAAGGAACAACUCUCAAAAAAUAGGGUGUGAAGACUGUUGAACCCGCAUUGUAGUGAUUACGUGGACAACGGAUGUGGAGGCGCACUCAUGUAUACACAAGCAAGUUUCGAUGUGUUUUGAUCGAAAAUCCAGAUAGAGAUGAACAAUGUUUAUUAACGCAGGAGAUACUUGAGGACACAAGACAAAAAAGUUUGAGCACCGACAAUACGAUCAAGAGCGGUUUAACAUAAGCAUACAAUUUUGAAUAAUUCAACCAAAGUGAAAACAAACUAAACUCAAGUCAAUAAGUGUGGAAUCAUUGAGAGGAGAAAUUGAGUGUAGUUUUAAGUAUAUAGAGAUAUAUUAAGAACAAAUAUUAAAAGAGAUCCUCAUUUAUAAGGUUCCAAUUGAGAUGGUUGCCGUUGAAUUGGUACCACAUGGCUACAUCUCACAGACUGAUUUCACAUCACUCAGUCUGUUACGUAUUUAAUAUAUUGAGUGUCAGUUAUCCUACAUCCUAGGUCGACAGUUCUAACAUUUAUAUUAUUACAAACAUUACAUCUGUCAUUCCUAAAAAUUGCCUACAUAUCUUUUAAAAGAUAGUAAGGGCUUCAACUAAAGGGAGCUUCAGAUGGAGGGAUGGUUUUGGCUAAUUCAGAGGGAGCUUUGGCCAACAAUGUGAGAAACUUCAGGGGCAGGAAGCAUCGGCUCCAUUUUUUAGCUUGUUUUCUGACUGAUUGUUGACUUUACAUUCUACAUGGUCUGUGGCGUAGACUUUGAUUGGAGCUUCAAUUGUGAGGCGUAACAAUAGUCCCUAAGUCUCUACAUGAUCAUUAAUGUAUUGCAUGGACUUGUAUAGAAAAUUUUGUUGGACAGGUAAUCAUUUAGACAUCACAAUAGUCCCCCAAGUCUAAAUAUCAAUACUUAUAUUAUAAUUAGAAUUUGAAAGUAGAAUCAUUAUGAAUUGUUUGAGGUACUUAUAGAGGGUGCUAUUCGAAGCUAUGUGAAAACUCAACUUGUGGAAAAGAUAAAGGAGCAUCAGUUGAGGCAUUUUGUUGGAGGCUGUUGGCUUCGAAGUGGUCUUAUAUUCGAGGCCUUGCAAUGCUAUUAAUGCUAAAGCUGAUGUAGUAUGCUCUGCUAUUCUCUAAAGUGUAGAGGUAAUUUUGAAGNUUCAUAUUUUGAUUAUAACCAAAAAAUUAUUUUUAUCUCUAACAAAUUGAAUUCAAGUUUUCAUAGCUAUUGUUGUAAAAUUGCCAAUUAGAGACAAAAAAUUACUACCAAAAGAUUCAAAUUGUACGAUCAACAAAAAUCGAGAUGGAAACAAAUCACUCGAAGAAAAAUAACUUUAACAGUCAAACAUCGAAGAUAUUAGACUUAAGACAUUUUGAAUUUGUAUGUAAAAGUAAAAUGUUUUAAUAUUUAGCAAUGAAUCGUUAAAAGCUCAAAGAACGAAUUUUCAUGCACGAGAAAAAAUCACUUCAUAACAUUACUUGCAUAAAAUUAUUAUUUUUAAAAAAUUUCAACUUGAUAUAUAAACUUUUUACAAUAUCACUUGCCUUGAAAAUAAAUUGAAAAUGGUCAUUCAAAAGCCUACAUUUUUCAAAACAACCAAGAAAGAAAAAUUCUGGAAAAUUUGUCUAAGCGGAUGUCCGGGUGAGUCAGCGGACGUUUGGUUUGCCCAUUGAUCACUUUUUUAACUAUUUUGAAUUCUGACGUACAACAGCUAGUUUGACCGUCUUUUCAAAAAGCAGACAUCCGAAUGAGUUGUCCGAUUGGUCAGAAAGUUUAACAUUUUGACUACGAUAAAUAUAAUUUCACUCUGCAUUCAUUAUACACUUUUGAGAGCACUUUAAGUGAAAUACUUUUGAGCUAAAUUAAAUCAAUAUAUCUUGUUCAUCUUUAUCAAUUCUCUUACUCUGAAAAACUUUUAAUUGAAUCAACCUUCGAAAAUCAUUUUUCUCAUUAAAGUUUUUAUCACCUAAAACUUGAGAGCUUUAUUCAUUGCUGUUUAUUAAAGUGUUAGCCUAUUUUUUUCUUUGUACUUAAUUUUGAUUAUAUCAUUUAUUAAGAUAGAAGUCUCAAAUUGUAAAAUCAGUUCUCUUUAAAUCUUUGGGUCAUAUUGAAGUCCCGAAAAGCUCUAUAUUAUAUAAGAUUCGAUGCUCCUUGUUUGUAAGUUACCAAAAGCAUUGUAAAUGUUUGGAUUUUACCAUAAGUCAAUCAAAAUUUAGUGAAAAUACCUUUCUUUGUGAAGGAGAGCUUGAAAAUGGAAGACGUAAAUCAUUGGUUGGAAUCGAACAUCUACAAUUACAUUGUUUGCAUAAUCUCUUUUUCCUUAUUGCUUUCAUACUUGUGUAUUUUUCAUUGACUUAUUCAUUCUCAAUUUGUGUAAUUUUGAAUAAAUCUUCGUAAAAGUUUUCAAAACCAAUUUACCACUCCAUUGGUUAGCUAUUCUUGGACUUUCAGUUGGUAUCAGAGGAAGGUACUCAUUCGUAAAAGAUUUCACAAUAUUGAGAAGUGGCUAACACAACCUUCAAAAUCUUGAGGAGCAUUCUACAAAUCAACCUCUUUUCUUUGAUGGCACGCAUUAUAAUAAAUGAAAAAGCUAUGAUGAUGAUUUAAAUUCAAUGAAUCAAUUACAAUAUUUGGGUAGUUAUUGAAUAUGGUCUUUAUGUACCUACUAAAAUUAUUAAAGUUGAUGGCAAAGCCGAACAAACCAUUUCAAAACCUAGAGAGAAACAUGACGAAGAUGAUAAAAGAAAAUUAUCCUUGAAUGGUAGAGCAAAAAAUCUCCUUUAUUAUGCAUUAGAUAGAAACGAAUUUAGUCGUAUUAGCACAUGUGAUUCCGUAUAUGAUAUUUGACAUGCAUUAAAAGUUAUUCAUGUUGGCAGCACUAGUAAAGUAAAGGAAACCAAAAUUAAUCUCUUGGUUAAAGAAUUUGAAAACUUCUUUAUGAAACAAGAUGAACCUGUUGUUGACAUGAUUACUUAUUUUCACUGAUAUUGUUAAUGGCCUCAAAAGCUUUAAUUGCAAAUUUUCUAAUUGUGAGCUUGUAACUAAAAUGCUUAGGUUGCUAUUGGAAGAUUGGAGCUCAUUAAGGAUAUUGAUAGAGAAUACCAAAUAUAUCAACACAUAUCUUUUGGAAGAACUUUAUGGAACCUUGAUGACAUACUAGCUCAACAACGCAAAAACUAUUGAGAAAACAAAGAAAAGCAAAAAGGAAACAAAUGAGCCUCCUAAACGCCCAAUUGCUUUUAAAUCGGCAAUUGAAGAAGGAACUACAAGUGAAAAUAUGAGUGAUAAAAAUCUCGAUGAUCUAGUUCUUCUUGUCAAAAAAUGGAGAGGUUUUCAAAGUAAUCGAAGAUUCCUAAAGAAAGAAUAAAAUGGGGAAAAACGAAACAAGAAAAUCAUUUGCUAUGAUUGUGACAAACUUGAUCACAAUAGAGCUGAGUACCCAAAAAAGAAGAGAAAUAUCAAGAAAAAGGUAUUACAAGCAAUAUGGGAUAAGAGCUAUGAUGAUGAUCACGAUGAAAAUGAUAGUCAUGAAGAAAUUGUCAAUAUGUGCUUCGUGGCGAUUGAAGAUGAGUAAACUCUAUUGAAAUAUGUUCAUACGAUGAUUUAUCUACCUCCUGUGAUGGAAUUUUUGAGGAAUUUGAGAAGCUUGCUCUAAAUCACUCUAUUGUUAAAAAGAAGCAAAAGUAAAAUGAAGAAGUAUUAGAAACUCAAAAGAAAAGGUUGAAAAUUUAACUAAAAUUAUUUGUAAAUUUACUCAAGGUAAGAAGAAAUUUUGAUUUAAUGCUUGGUGAUCAAAAGUGUGUUUUUGAUAAAGGAUGAAUUGAAUAUAAACAUUUUUGAAACGAAAUUCUUUCAAAAAUCUAUUCGUCAAAACUUCAAAUAUCACUCCUUCAAAAACGACAUGUAGCUUUUGCAACAAAAAUAGACAUAUUGCUUAUAAUUAUCUAACCAAAAAGAGGCUACACUUUAAAAGUAAAAGCAAAUGGAUUCGAGAAUCCAUCAAAACUAGGAUCCAAACUUAUACGGGUACCAAAGAUCAAAAAUUAAAUUAUUUUUUGUAUGUAACAAAGAAGAAGAAAAACAAAUGGUUCUUGAAUAGUGGAUGCUCAAAACACAUGAUCAUAUAUAGAAUGCUACUAUCAAAUUUCAAAAAGAAUAAUGAAGGCCAUGUCACAUUUGGAGACAAUGCAAAAGGAAAAAUUAUUGGAAUUUGAAACAUUGGUAAUCAUUCUUCUUCUAUUAAAAAUGUGCUACUGGUGGAUAAUCUCUAACAUCAUUUGCUUAGUAUUAGUUAAUUAUGUGAUAAAGAAUAUUAUAUUAAAUUCGAUUAUUCUAAAUGUCCUAUUAAGGAUGCUAUAUCAAACGAGGUAAUGUUUAUAGGGAGCCGAAGCAAAGAUGUUUAUAUCAUAAAUAAUGAAUUUGAAAGUAAUCAAAAAUAUUUAUCAAGUUUAAAUGAGGAUACUUGGUUGUAGCAUAGACGAUUAGAUCAUGUUAACAUGAAUCUUCUUUCCAAAAUCUCCAAGAAUUAUCUUGUCAAAGGUUAACUAAAAAGUUUCUUAAAGAUAAAAUUUGUAACUCAUGUCAAUUUGAUAAACAAGUGAAAAAGCUCUUUUAAACCUAAACUAUAUUCUAUGACUACAAAACCACUUCAUUUACUCCACAUAGAUCUCUUAGGACCUUCUAGAACUGCUAGUUUAGGUGUAAAACAUUAUGCUUUCGUUAUUGUUGAGGAUUUUUUUAGAUUUACUUGGGUUCUCUUUUCAAAUCUAAAAGAUGAAACUUUAAAUGUAUUUAAACAUCUUUAUAAAAAGGUUCAAAAUGAAAAAUGACACUCUAUUACAACUAUUAGAAGUGAUUAUGGUAGAAAAUUUGAUAACAUCGUUUUAAAUAAUUUUUGUAAUGAAAAUGGAUAUGAAUAUAAUUUCUCAGCUCUUAGAACUCCUCAAUAAAAUGGUGUAGUAGAAAGGAAGAAUCGCACAUUACAAGAAAUGACUUGGAUCAUGUUAAAUGAAAAUAACAUGCCAAAGUACUUUUUGGUCGAAGUUUUUAACAUCGCUUGCUAUAUUGUUAAUAGAGUGUUAGUUAGUUGAAAUAAAACUAAAACUCCCUGUGAGCUUUGAAAAAAUAUAACUUCAAAUAUCGGUUAUUUCAAAGUAUUUAACUGCAAAUGCUUUAUUUUAAUUUACAAACUCAUUUCUUAACUUCACUUAUAUUUUCGUUAGAUUAUUACAAAGAAUAUAAGUCUCGAGCUAACAUGACGAUACAAUGUAGAUUAGCACGUUCCCUCUCUAUUUUAAAUCAAAAAAAUAAGUUCUAAAGUCAAUUUCUAAACAGUAAAUUCAUGAUUCACGUAUCUAGAAAGUAGUACCAUAUUCAACAUCUUUUCUCAAAGAUAUAGUAGCAUGCCCUGAACGUUUACUAUAAAGAAAAGAGACUAACUUGGUUCAAUAAUAGGAAAGUAGAUAAAAAAGGACUAAAAAUAGAACCAUAAAUUAACACUAAUUAGGGUCUUAAAUUUAGCAACUCUUCCAUGCCAAUAAUAGACUGAAAUGGUCAAGGAAAUCAUACUCCACUUCUUCGUCACAAGUGUCCUCAAGUGGUGGCAUUUUUUCAUCACCAUUAUCACUUUUAGUUUCUACCUUUCCAUUAGCACGUGCAAUCAUGGUUCUCUUAUUUGGACAUUGUAAAGCAACAUGACCUAUUCCCAAACAACGAAAACACUUAAUAUCACAAUCAUAAGCUUAGGGUUCGAUUUUACCUUUGUUGACACUUAGCACUUUAUAUGUUCUCUUCGGUGGUUUGAUUUUGUUUUUAAAGACAACCCCUUUUAUCAUUCUUCUAAGUUAUCUUCCAUGGAGUAGAUUAGCUCAUAUUUUGGGAUGUUCGAUUCCAUUUCUCUUAUGCUGUCAUUCCACCUUUGUUGUCUCGUGCACCAUAUAUUCCAAUUCCACAUAAUGUUACAAUUCCACCACAUUAGCAAUGUCCCAGUUUAGCCCAUACAAAGAUCUUGCCAUCAUAGCUUCUCUAUCCUCCUCUACAUUAGCUCGAAUCAUGGAGAUCUCCAUUUCUUUGUAGUAAUCAUUCAUGCUCCAACAGCCUUGAAUAAGACUUUGUAAUUAUUGAUGUAAGUCCCUAUAGUACUAACUAGGAAUAAACCGUCUCCUCACUAUGGCCUUCAUUUCUCCCCAUGUCCCGAUAGGCCUCUCAUGGUUCCUCUUUCUAUUCAUCACAGGUUGAUCCCACCAUAUUAUAGCAUAAUCAAUAAACUCAAUGACAGCAAGCUUUGACAUUUUCCCUCGGAGUAGUUAUGGCACUCAAAGACCAACUCCGUUUUCUUCUAUCAUUCCAAGUAUGCUUCAGGAUCAUUUUUUCUUAGAAUGAUAGUAUCUUCAUUUUGAUGUUUUCUAGUUUCUUGUUAAAUCUGUCCCUCUUUCUCAGACUUCCUUGGAAACCUCUACCACGCCUUCCUUCUCUUUGGCAUGAGUCUCCCCUCAUCAUUUAAUGAGGUAUGAUCCUCCUUAUCUUCAAGCUCCUCCCUGUAGUCAACAUCAAAACCAUCCCCAGGCGAACACCUCUCAUGCCUUCAAUAAUUAGGGACUCUACCGGGAUGCCUCUCUUGCAAAGUAGGAAUUGCCUAUCCAUUCGAUCUUGAAUCUAAUUAAACAACAUGUUCAUGCAUUCAAAAUGUUGUUGUAUAGCUUGUAACGUAAAGAAUUGCCCCUCUCAUCCUUCUUGGUUUGGUGUGCCAUCCUAGGAAGGAAUUUCUUGAAAAUGUUGAAAAAAAAUGUUAAAAAUACAUCCUCACAACACUCUCUUACAUGUUUGCACUCAAAUUAUGUCACUGACGCUCUUGUUUCACUCUUGAAUUGGCUUUUUUCAAAAUUAGUCUUCAUUCUCUUGCCUUUUUCCACUCAUAGCUUUCCCUUUUCAGUUCUUUAUCAAACUAAUAAACUCGAUCAAGAAAACCCAACUUUUAUUAUUAAACCAAUACCAACUAUGAGAAGAAAAUAUUAGAACAAUUAAUUCAAAGAAAAUAUAGAAUUUAUAAAAAUCGCUAAUCAAAGGAAAGGACAAUGAAUCAACGGCAAAGGAUAGAUAUCAGAUUUUUUUUUAUUUUUUUAUUUUUAGAGAAUCGAUGCUACAAAGAUCACAAUUCAAGCAAAGUAUAACUUUGACGAUAUUAGUUGCCUCAGCAUUACGUCUCUUUUUUUUCUUUUUCUUUUUUUCCUUUUUUGAUGUCUUUUUUUUUUUUUUUUUGGUGUUGAAUACAAAAUAGUAAUUAACAAGGAAAAUAUAACCUCAAAAUGGAAUAAGAAGAUUGAACUUGAUAAUUGAACACAAACUUAUCAAUUAACCCAAAGCCCAAUGAACAAUGGACACAAAUGGAUCAAGAUAGGAUGUUAACAAAAGAUAAAGGAUAGUAGACCUGAUUUUUGAACCUUGCUCUGAUACCAAACGAUGUGAAACUCAUCCAACACAUGAUGGGACUCAACAACACAAUUGGGAUUUCGUUUCCAAGGAAGUAAAAAUUAGAUUGAAUAGAAAAAAUCAUAAACAAAGGUUUAAGAUUCGAACGCCACAAGGAGAAAUCCUUGAUAAGUUCACAAGUUCUCCGAAGAACCAAAAGUGAAGCAACCUCACAUUCUAUUUGAGAUCAAUUCAAUGUCUCUUUAUUACAAAGUGUGCAUACUAUUAUAUAACGAAAAUAAGACUACAAUCAGCCCUACACGUCCACUAUAACGAAAGGAAUCUUGACAAUAGGAAAGUAGAUAAAAAGGACUAAAAAUAGACGCCUAAAUUAACACUAAAUUUGGUAUGAAAUUUAGCAACUCCUCCAUGCCAAUAAGAGACUGAAAUGGUCGAGGAAAUCACGUUUAAGGAAUAUUUUAAGGAAUGUUUGAAAUAAGUAAGUCAAUCUGCCACUUAAUUGGUCUGAGAUUGGAAAGUAAUUAGCCACUUUCUCCUUCUAAUUCUAUGUUCAAAUCAAGCAAUAACCAGCCUUUAAUCCAUGCCAUUUGUUAAGGAAAUUAUGCCCAAUCCUUUAGAGAAAAUUACCUAGAAAUCUACUUUUAAACAAUAGUUUUCAGAAAUAAAGAGAAUUAAUUUUUAUUUCACAAAUCAGGUGGUAAUUAGAACUUAUUAAAUUAAUUAAUACAUAGUUAAUAAUAGAAAAUAUUUUAUAACUUCCCCAGCCAAAACCAUCCACUCACUCAAAUUAAAUUUUUUCUGUCUCUCUUCCUUCUCUAGCGUCUUCCAAGGAUUGAUAAAAAUGGAAGAUUUCUAAAUUACAAAUAUCAAAAAUGUCAAAGUCAGGCGCCAUUGAUGGGACCCAUCAUGACAAAUCUACAACCAUGACUUUACCACCCCAUUUCGCCACAACUGCAGUCGUGGGUUUCUAUUAAUCGAACCAAAAUUUUGAUUCGAUUGUGUGUGCCUGUUCUUCUAAUUUUGAUUCAAUCAGUUGGUGUUUUUUUUCAAGGUGUUGGUGAAAGUUAUGGUAGUAAUAAUUGUUGUUGUGGAUUUGAGUUAAAGAUGUUAGUAGUGGUGGUGGUUAUUAUUUUUUUGAACUGAUCUGUUGUGGUGGUUGGAGAUCUGGUUUUUUCUGAUUGAGAUCUGCUUGUGACUGUUUGUGACCUAUUUUGUGUUGAUUGUGUUGUGACUUAAAAUUGAUCUGGUCAUAGACAGUCACAUUGAAUACAAACUUGGUCACAGAUCUCGUAUUAAUUUACCCCAGAUCUUGUAUCAAUUUUUAAUCCACACACUCUAUUUCUUCCCCCAAAAGUUAGUUCGGCACUCUCUUACCCAAAAAUCAGAUCUGCGUCUUCUUUCCGCCUACCCUCUAGAUUCCGACCACCUACCAUUUCUCUCAUCGGAAUUUCACGAGAAAAGUGUGGUAGUGCUGGUUGGUGUUUUUUGAAGGGUUGGUGGAAGUUAUAGUAGUGAUGAUUGUUGUGGAUUUGAGGUGAAUGUAGUAUUUAUGGUCAUCAAUUUGAGUUAAAGAUGUUAGUAGUGGUGGUGGUUAUUAUUUUUCCGAACAUAUCUGCUGUGGUAGUUGGAAAGUUGGUUUUUUCUGUUCGAGAUUUGGUUGUGACUGUUUGUUACCAAUUUUGUAUUGAUUGUGACUUGAGAUUGAUUUGGUCACAGAAAGUCACAAUGAAUACAAAUUUGAUCACAAUUAGUUACAUCAAAGUCAAAGUUGGUCACGGUGAUUUUCAAAUAACAUAAGUCAAUGAAUUGGUCACAUAUAACACAAGUAUGGUCACAAAUAACACGUGAAAUUUCAAACUUUAUUUCUUAAUAUUGAAAUUGAUCAUAUGCAUAUUCAUCCCACUUAAUUAGGUCACAGAUUCAAUAGAACUAGUCACAGAUCUAAUGGAACUGAUAACAGGUUAUAGCCAAAAAAGAAGAAAAAUGUAGUCACUGGAAAGGUGAUCGGUCAUCGGAAUAUUCGUCGAACAGCUGUUGGAGCAUCGUUGGGAGGUCCACGGAUCGUCUCCAGAGCGAUCGUCAAAAUUGUCAUCGUAGCAGUCGCCGGAAUUGUUGUCGGAGCCGUCGCUAAAGAAGUUGCGAGAGGUGGGGUGGGGUGGAGAGAGAAAUAGAACGGUUUGAUGUGAUGGGUGGGUGGGGUUGGAGGUGAGGUAGGGUGGAUAAGUAAAUUAAUUAUACUAUACUAUAAUUAAUAUUUAAUAAAUUUAAUUAUCACAUAAUUUUUGAAAGAUUUUUAGAAAUUUGUUAAUUUUGAAAUGUGAUUUUGAAAUGGAGGAUUUAUGCGAUGUUCCCUUAAAUUUAAUAUGUCUUCAUCUCCCUCUGGGCCAAGCUUCGAAUGCGCCGUUUCAGAAUCAGCCGAGUCUCUUGAAUCAGCCCAUUAAGUACUUCUUUGAUCUUCUUGGAUCUAGCUCUUGCAAUGGGCCAAACUGGAACAUGCAAUGGAUCUUUGGAGGUGUCUUGCGGCAAUUUCUCAUCAAAUAUUUAAAAAGGGGAUGGAUAUAUAUAUCUAUAUAUAUAUAUAUUAAAUUUCAAAAAUUUUCACUAUAUGAAAAACUGUUACAAUAACGUAUAAGCUUCCCUCAUCAAACAGCAACGAGUAUCCUAGAGAAAAAAUCAUUAAAGUUUUAUUGCUUCUACCAAUUUUUACUCCUUGUAUAACUCACGAUAAGACCCUCAAGUCAAGUCCAUAAAAGAGAAAUAACAUAUCAAUUUAGAAUAAACAAUUGCUUUCAACAUUGCCCCAAAUUCGUGUGCCCAAGGAAAGUCUUCAAUUUAAUUGGUCACCAGUUUAGCCCUUGUGUGGGAGUGGUUUUUCGAAAAUCUUUUUUUUUCCAAACUCAUUUUCAACUACAUAUUUUAAAGAAAAUCAUUUUUCACGUUUCUCAUAUUUUUUUUCAACUUUUUCUGUUUACAUUUCUUACUUUUUAUGUUUACAUUUCUUAAAAAAAAACUUUUCGAGAAGAUCUCUUCCACAUAAACACUUAAUUAUGACAUUUUCUCGCAUCUUUUGCUAUUGCUACCACAUUCAGAACAUUUCCAAUAGCAAAAAUCAAGCACGGAGUUAUAUCUAAUUUGGUAAUUGGUUAACAAAGUUUCUUUUGUUUCAUAUUUAAAUUGGGAUGAAAAUAUUUGGCACAUUUUGAGGUAACUAUCCAAACAUAAAUAAUGAUUAUUUAUGUUUUAAUAUUUUUAAUAUUUAAUAUCUAAUAGAAUUUUAUGAUUCUCAACUCUGCAAGACGCCUUCACCAAUCCAAUUCUGAAAGACAAUUUUGAAAGAUUGAUUCUCUCCUUAACCGUACUUAUUUUACUGUUUAUUAAUGAGUUCACUUUCCUCUAGUAAUUUUUUUCUCUCUCUCAAGAACUCGUGAUUUUGUAUUCAUAUUUUAAUGAAUUCAAAUCUGAAUUUGAUGAGAUCAAGUCUAAUUCAAGUAGUAAAAGUGAAGCUUAUUAACUUGUGUUCGAAUCUUUUUUGGAGGGUGAUCGUAUGAAAUCUUGCAAGUACCCAGUAUAUAAGAUAAGCAUCCCACGAAAACUAUGUUUUAAUUUAAAAUCAAUUAAUAUUAACUCCAAUCGAAUACUUAAGUUUGUAUAAAGAAAUUAUACUAAAUAACUAUUUAAACUAAAUAUUUUAAUGAGCUAAUUGUGAAAGCUUUUUGUAAACUUAGGUUGAAUAUUUAUUAAAACUUCGAAUCCUCUUAUUAUUCUAAUUUAAUGCAAAUCGACAUCAUGACAAUAUAUAUUCAUUCUUGUUGAUAAAUGUUUUUAAAUUAUUUAAUAAUCUCUCUCGAGUAGAAUUAAAUCUAUCACGUGACAUUUUUAUAUCUUUAUGAAAGAUGCAAAGAGAUCAUGAACUAAAAAUUUUAGAACGUCUACUAAAUUAUGUAAGGCACAAAGGUAUAUCUCUAUCAUCUAUCGGACCUCACAAAAUUGUUAUAAUGUGUUAUCUAUCUUAUUGUCUCUCUCAAUAAUAAUAAAAUUAAAAUUCACACACUAAUUCAAUGAAUGAUCAAGUAAUUGCAAAGCCUUAAACAAUCAUUCAAGAAUAAAUACAUAUUAGGUGGCCAAAUGUUUUGUAGAAUUUCACUUGGAUUUUGAUGAAUUAAGAAAAAUAUGAAAAAUUUUGAAGUUCUUGAAUCUCUCGACAGUUUCUUGAUUGUCUUCAAUUGCACUUUCUUCUUCUUUGCCCAAAACUCAAGGUUGAACCUUCAAAUGAGUGAAUUCUUAUAGCUUGACUCUUGAUUUUCCUAAAAGAAUGAUGGUUUGCCAUUCUUUGAUUACAAUAUUUCAUAAAUUAUAUGAUAUGAGAGGUUCCCUAAGGUUAUAAGAAAUGUCCAGUAUUUAUAAGUGUCGAGUUUAGAUCAAAAAAUUGUCUAAAGAUAGUUUCCAAAAGGAGUUUCAAUCAUAGAACGAAAGUUCUCGUCUUCCAGGAAAGUACUCCAUGCUCAUGCAUGGUUCAACAAAUUUGGCCUUAGGUUUUGCAUGUGCAUUCCCAUUUACAUCAUGCGCAAGUUUAGUUAUAUUGUCCCUGAACCCUGAAAGGUAGCUCAGUGGUCAGGCUUUGGGUUUACUCCCCAAUGGUCACCAGUUCAAGUCCCCUCAGAACGACUGAGGUGAGUAUCCGGCUAUAAAUUUCAGAGUCCCGUGGGAUUAGUUGAGGUGCGCGCAAGCUGGCCCAAACACCCAUGGUUAUAAAAAAAAAAGAAAGAAAGUUAUAUUGUCCCUUAACUUCUUUGAGAGUUGAUUUAGUCCUUUUCCUGCAAUUUUUGUCCGUUGUCUUCUAUUCUCGUCUAAUUCAUUCUUCACAUUUUUCAAUGUGAGAUUUGAGUCAACUUUGAGUAUUUACACUCUGGUUCCAAACUCUGAAAAGACUCAUUUUAAGCUUCAAUUUCACUUAUUUUCACUACAAUUGCAUCCAAAUUCAAGUUUUUCCUACAAUAAUCGAUAUUUAAACGAAUUAAGUAGUAAUUUAUUUGAAUAAACGUCUAAAUAUUCAAUUUUAAUGACCUAAAUAAGUAUCAAACUUACACGUAUCAAAGGGUAUGCCAGAGUAAUAGUUCUAUCCACAAAUUACGAUUUUUUACAAGCGAACAUAUUCUAUGAAUCAUUAAUAAUAAUGAUCUAUGAUGCAUCGGUUCAAAGUUUAUGCUAAACAAUGUGGACCUGACACAUUAAUUGACUAAUGAAUAAACUUAUCGUAAGUUUUGCUAGGUUUUAAUACCCAAUGAAUCUGGGCUAUGAUGUAAAUGUAGGAAUAUAAUUUUACAGGCCUCGAUCAUUGGUGAAUUGAUUAUCAACAACCAAUUCAGAGGUCCCAGGCUAUGAUGUAAACAUUGGAAGUAGUUUAAGAAAUUAAUGUUGUUCACGACUGAUAUAUAUUUUUCUAUUGGAUAGCUUUGAAUCUUGGCCCAUUUAACCCUUUUAUUGUCCAAUUAAAGUAUAACACAUUAUAUAUGUUGCUUUGAUCUAGUCGUCUAAUUGUGUGAUUUGCAUAUAAAUUGGAGAAAAAUGUAGUUGUUCCUUAGACCAAAAAUCAAUUGCCAUAGUGAAGAAAAAAUCGGUGACUUCCAUUGCAUAUUUGGCCUCUUCUUCAUUGUCUUUCUUCUUCACUUUGUGGCUACAAAUAAACACCAUUUGUCUUGUCCUUUGUAGAUGAGAUUGAGAAGCGAUCAAGGUAACUAUUGGUUGAGGAUUGGAGUAGUUUGGGUUGAUUGUUUGGUAGAGAAAAGUAACGUGAAAUUGAAUAUGAAAAACACCAUUUAAAAUAUAUUUGGAGCGAGCUUCCACUACAAUUGGUGUCAAAACUUCAAAGUGGUAGAUUUGGCUUAAAAAUAUGACCUAAAAUGACUAGAAAAAGUGUGAGAAUCAAAGCAUUAAGCAGAUUAAAAAGUUAUCUAAAAACUAUUAAAAAUCGAAGUUGUUAGUGCCAUGUUUGGCCAAAUCAGAAGGAGUUUGGUGAAACGGAGACUACCUACAUGGCGUGCAAGUGGAGGCACAUCGGAGUGAUCGAUGUAUAAACCAAUCUAGACGGUAAGUGUAGCGACAUGUGAAGCCCAUGCACAGAGACUCCAACAGUACAUGCGAUUCAGUGUCUUUAGGCAGUUUGUUCCUAACAUUAUUUCUUAUAAUUUAGUAUUGUUAGUCUUCUGUAUCAGGUUAUAUAAUAAAAUUUGGACGAAUUUGUCCUUUGCACGUUUGGGAUUCAUUCGUGGUUGAUUGAUUUCUACAAUAGCUAGGGACUUUAAGGCUAAUAGUAGUGAUCCUAAAGUGGUAAUUGACAUCUCUCAUUAUUUACAGACUCAGAUUAAUCCACUUUGGUAUAUUGGCUUAUCUCAUUUUAAAUUUUAGAAUCAGCAAGUCAUCAUGUAGGGUGAUAUUAGGAUUGGGGUUACCAUGUAGGGUAACCAUUGCUUGUACAAGAAAUUUAGGAAUUAUGUGUCAUAUUUAAAGUGUUGAAUUUAACUAAAAGUUGAUAAUUGCUUUUAUUUUUAAUUGCCAUUAAGUCACUAUGUGAGACCAUAUUGUGUAAGAAACUGAAUUUUUGUUGACAUACCUUCGUAUUGCAUUGAUUAUUAUGUUAGAACACCUAGACUUGACCCAUUUGAAUAUUCCCUUGACACUAAGACCUUGAAUCUUAUGAAAUCAUAAGAAUCUAGAACGGUAUAUAUUACAGUUUUAGGAUUACCUUGUAUGACCUAUUUAUGCUCUUUGAUUGUUCUGUUUUUUCAAAAUAUCUUCAAAUUUUGAAGUUGAAACUUUCAAUGGAAAAGAGAAAUUUUCUAUUUGGCAACAAAAGACGAAAGUGAUUUUAGUUUAACCAAAAGUUUGAAAAGUCAUAUAUAGCGAAUCUCUUACAAAUUUAACGGAAACAAAAAAAGAAAAAUAUGAUGAACUUGUUUACAUCUCAAUUAUUUUACACCUAUCUGAUACUAUUUUAAGAAACAUUUAAAAACUUGAUUAUACUACAUAACUUUGAAAAAAGUUGGAGAACUUAUAUUUGCUUAAAUUUACUCUUAAUAAGUUGUAUUUACUUGAAAGAUUUUUUCAGUUUUAAAAUGGAUUGUUCAAAGGAUUUUGAUAACAAUUUAGGUGUAUUUAACAAACUUAUGCAAAAUAUUAUUAGUUGUAAAGAGAAGGCGUCUAAAACUUAUAAGGCCAUUAUUUUGCCGAAUUUAAUGUCUGACUCAUAUAUGGAGGUUAAAAAUGAGAUUAUGGUAGGCACCUUAACGUCCGAGAUUGUUAUUGAUUUCUUUAGAAGUAAGUAGACAAAACUUAAGGUUGAAAAAGAUGAUAAGAGGAGUGAUGGGUUAUAGAUUAUGAAGAGUAUGAUGAAGUUUGAGCAAAUGAAUUUGGAUAGAACUCAAUAUAGCAAUGACUCAAGUGAUUAAGGUAGUAAGAAGAAUGAUAAAAGGUUGGGACAAGUUUAGUGGUAAGCGAUGUUGCGGCUAUGGUAAGUCAAAACACUUUGUAAAUGAUUAUCCGAAGAAGAAGGAUAAGUAAAAUGGUGAGAUGAGAGGUGAGGCAAAUGUGGCCACUCAACCCUAAUGAGGUUUAUCAUCUAUGUGUGAUCAUUUUUGCAUGUAUGUAAUUGCUUAAUUUUAUUGCAUGGUUAUAUGUUACGUUUCAAUGUAUUUGAUAUGUACAUUUACAUGAAUUUAGUAGCUAUCUAAUUACUUUGUAUAAUGUAUUUGCAUACAUAGUGGGUUGGAAUGCAUUAGCAACAAGUGUGUUGUGUCUAUUGAUGAUAUGGAGCAUAGAUGCCUAGAGGUACAUCGAUAGUAUGUCCGGAGAUGUGGAGUGUGAAAUCUGAAUCUUGAGUGGAGGUGUGAUUAAAUAUUGGAAUCCUUUAUCUAAGAAAACUCUGAUCAAGUGGAGUUUGAGAGGGACACUUCUAUCAUUUCUAUUGCCGGAGAUCCAUUAUCCACUUAGGUUGGGAGAGGUGAUGUGGUGAUAGAGGAUUAUUCUAUGGGCUUAGGAUCUAGUGCGAUUUAUCAGUUAGACAUGAGUUGAAUAAUCAGUCUAGUGAGCAUAAUGGGCGAUGAGAGGAGAUAUGUGUUCCCAAGGUGUGAGUCAUAUGGAAUGAGAUAGGAUAAGUAUGGUAAGUGAGAUCAUUUAUGCAUUUGUUGCAUAUGUAUUAGCCGCUUGAUUGAUUAACUUGGUAAAAUCCGUUGUUCUGUGUAAAAUUAUUUUUUGAAAAAUCUAUAUGUUAUCUUAUUUUAUAUCUUCAUCGAAUAUUUAUUUGCUCUAGAUUGUUUACUGUUAUUAUCUGCUUUUACUUUGGUGUUUUUGACCUUAGCCCUGGUGAGUAUAUAGAGAAAAUAUGUAUGUGUUUUCAAUCCCAAAAACAAGGAAGGUUUGUGACCCCAAUUUCAUUGGUUAUCUUGAUUAUGCAAAUAUUAACAUUGCGUUUUGAUUGAUUGCAGGUUAAUUGUGUAUCUAGCUAGAAAUUUGUUGGGUUUUAUACCCAAUGAAUCUUAGGUUAUGAUGUAAAUAUUGGAAUAUAAUUUCAUAUUCCGCAGUUAAUGUUGAAUUGAUUACCAAUAACCAAGCCCAAAUGUUAGACCCGAAAACAACGUGGACCAUUGGAAGUAACUUAAAAAAUUAAUGUUGCUCAUGGCUUAUAUAUAUAUAUAUAUAUAUAUAUAUAUAUACCUAUUGGAUGGUUUUGAAUCUUGGUCCAUUGAACUCUUUUAUAGGUCCAACUAAAACCUAACAUAUUCCUAUAUAUAACGUUGCUUUGACCAAGCUGUCUAAUUGUGUGAUUUGUGUAUGAAUUGUAGAAAAAAUGUGAAUGCUCCUAAGAUCAAAAAUCGGUUGCCAUAGUGAAGAAAAAUCGAUUACUUCCAUCGCAUAUUUGGCGUCCUCUUUGUACUUCAUGGCUACAAAUCAUCACCAUUGUCUUGUCUUUUGUGGGUAAAAUUAAUAAGCAGCCAGGCUAAAUAUUGAUUGUCGAUUGGAGCAAUUUAGAUUAGUUGUUUGAUAGAGAAAGGUAACGUGAAAUUGAGCUUGGAAAACACCAUUUAGAAGAUCUUUAGAGCGAGUUUCAGUAACAAGUUUUAAUAUUUCAAUUAAUUUUUUAUCCACCAAUGUAUUAAAGUCAUGUAAUGAUUUUUAACAUAAGCUAAACACAUGCCUUAGUUUUAAUAAAUUUUGUUCAAUUCAUUGACCAUCUCUCUUUAUGUUAUAUAAUGAUACCAUAAAAGAUAGAAUAAUUUAUUUGUCCACGAAGUGAUAAGGUCCACCUUCAUUUGAAACAACGCUAUGGGCUUGUUUGAGCCAAAUUAUUUUCAAAAAAAUACAUUUUUUAACAAUGAUUUGACAUCAUUUCAAUUACACAUUCUUCAAUAAAAUAAUGUUACACAUAAAUAUAAAACAUUUUUCUUAUUUUUUAACCACACAUUUUUCAUUGAUUUGACAUAAAUAAUGCAUUUUUUUUCCUAAAAUGUGGCUCAAACAUGGGCUAUGUAUUUGCACAAUUCAAUUAAUAUUGAGCGAUCCAAAUUCAGCUUAGAUUUGAAGAAUUCCUUCUCCAGGUCAAGAUUGUUAGAAUCUAUUUGGUAGCAAUUAGAAGUAAGAUUUUAAUUCUAGUCAAAGUUAACAAUUUAUUUUAAUAAUACAUUUUAAGGGAUUCACAACUUUUCAACCACACAUUUCAUCAGCUUCUAUGAAAAUCUUCUAAAAAUCUUAUUUUAAUCAUUAGCAAACAAGGGAUUAAAUGUGUUCCCCUACCACCCAAGUAUAUAUAUUGGCAUUACCGUUGGAAGAGGAAAAACACAACAAUAGCCAUUUCUCAAAGUAGGGUUUUUUUUAGGGCAAAAUUAGGUCUAGUAUUUGCCAUUCUGUGUUUGUCCUUAUUUUAAUGGACUAUGCUAUGUGUACAAACUUUUUUUUACAAAAUUUCUUACUCAAUAUUCACAACAGGAGAUGGGGACCACAAGCCGACAUUUUUUAAAUUCACGCGGGAUCUACUUUUUUGUGAGGGUUUGUAACACAUUUUGUACAAAUGUGUUUGUGUACACCUCUUUAUCCUAUUUUAAUUAGUAUGUGAGGGUCAGGAACAUGGAUCUCAUUAUCCUCCAUCAAUCAACUUUGCUAAACAAGAGUGUGCUCCAUAUCAAGUGAUUCGUAGAGAGAAAGAAUUUGAAAUACGAAGUUACAAAGAAUCCUUAUGGAUUUCUACUCGUGCCGUCGCCUCAGAGUCGUACAAAAAUGCAGUCCGUGAUGGUUUCAUCAUGUAAGAAAUUGAACUCUUUUUUCAUAUCAAACUUUAUGUAAGUUCCUUAGGGGUCAUAAGUGUGCGAAGAAUGAUUUUAUUUGGUUUGAAUUUUGAACAGCUUGUUCAACUACAUUAAUGGCGAGAAUCGUGACAACGUGAAGAUCGAUAAGAUGGCACCUGUUUUAGUUGAUAUCCUUAAAAAUUCAUCUUUGAAGGUGAAUUUGUAUGUUGCUCAAAAAUUUCAAAAUGUUCCUCUUCCCCAGGAUAAAGUGAAACCUAUAAAAUUGCCACAAGUUUGUUGCAGUGAGAAGAUUUAGUAGGUUGAUUGACGAGGCUAAACUUGCUACAGAAUUAUUAGAGUUGAAGGAGCAAUAGCCUCUAUUGCUUAUAGUGAGGCAUGAUGCAGAUUAUAAUCUACCAUGGCAACAAUAGUGUUCUAAAUGGCGCCGUCAAGGUGCGCUUAGGUGUGAUGCUUGGCUAAAACGUCAAGCCAAGUGGUUUGACACCUUAUUUGACGGUCAACGACAAUCAUUGAUUGUUUAGACGCACCUAAACGCAAUUAUGCGCGCAUUGACACGCAUUAUCAUCCUUUUUUAUUUUUUUUUAAAUUUAAUGGUUAAUUUCUUCGUUUUGCACAAAUUUAAAACCACCACUUGAACGUUAAAUAAGAUUUAAGUUUCUAUGCUAUUUAUUUGCUAUUUUGUAUUUAAAUUUGAAACUUAUCUUUUCGUUGGAAAUUUUGAAAAAAUGUAUAAAGUUCCUAUAAAUCUUUUUGAAAUGUUUAGUAAGUAUUAUUUUUAAUUAUUAAAUAAUAGUUUGAUUUAUUAAAAAUUGAAAUAAUAUUAAAAUAAGAAAACUCCUUUUUACGCCUAAACCUCACUUAAAUUCACGUAACCCAUAGCUUGACUUCCAUACAUCGCCACGUAUUACGUUUUUUUUAAACACUAGCAAUAGCAAUAGCAAUAGCAAUAGCAAUAGCAAUAGUGUCAAUGAAAUUAUAUUGUCCUUCGGAAAUACUAACUAAUAUUUGAGUAAUAUAAUAUCUGAAUUUUUAGCCUCUGUUUGAUGGGGAUUAAAAUCAGAAUUUUAGUAUAUUUUAAUAAAAGUCGAUGAAAUGUGUAGUUGAAAGUUGUAGAUCCCAUAAAAUGUGUGGUUAAAAUUCAUUAUUGAUCUUGACUUAGACUUAAAUUAAAAUUUUACUUAACAUUGGCUAAAUGUUCAUCAUAACUCAUUUAUUUAAUCAUUGUGAACUUCUAAAUGAUGAUCAACAAGCACCUCUCAGCUACGCAAGGUUUUCUCCUCGUUAACUCACUGUCUUGCUGCUCAAGAAGAGAAAUGUUUAUUUGGAAGGAAGCUAUUUCAAAUUCAACAUGCCUUCCCUCAUCACAGACUUGCCUAUUUAUAGAUUUUUAUCUAGAUAUUGGGGUAGAAUGACAUUUUUUUUAAUUAGUGACAUGUGACAGCCUUUCAUCGAAUGAUUUCUAAUUAAUUCUGUUAUCUGUUCACAUUUUAGUCAUCUGUUUAAUCUUUUCAUUUUUGUUCAAGUAUAUUGGUUUACAUCGUGUAUUUAAGGUUGUCUAUGAAUUUUUUUCCCUUGUAUUUUUAGCUCAUUUUGGAUUCUGGUGUAUUUUUUACCUUUUUAAAAUUUUUGCUUAGAUGAAUAUUUCUGAUAUAACAAUCAUCACUUAAUAAUUUAAUCAUAAGAAAUGCAAUGUUGAAUCUGGAUCUAAAUUGAUUUUCUCCAUUAUUGAGAAUUUAAUAUACAACUGUUUGGGACAAUGCCAACAAAGAAAAAUAGACAUGCCGCUGUAAGUAGUUUAGACUUUAGGGAGACAUAAAAGUGAGAAUUGAGUCUCUCUCCAAUCAUUUUCUCUCCUUUGUUUUAUUAAUAAUAUUAUAUUUACUAUUUUCUACUACAUUCCAUCUAAAUUUCAACCUAGUAAUCUGCUUUCGACCAUUGUAAUCAUAAAUUAAUAAUUUUCCCAACAUUAUAGUAACACACUAACCUUCUGUAGUUCACAUUAGGCCCGUUUGGUACACAUUUUUGUAAGAAUGAAAAUAAAAAAUAUAGUUGUUACGGGAUCCACACAAGAAAUGAAAAGUCAAAUAUUAUGAUUUGAUGUGAUGAAUAACCGUUAUAUUUUUCAUUUUUGCGGCCAAAGAAUGAAAGCAAACGGGGGCUUAACAUUAAAAAUUUCAGUUUCUCAAAAUUAACUGCCCCCCAUCUUUUAAACUAGAAAGGAGGUUGUCAAAACCCAAUAAAUGCCAUCGGCAACAUCACUUAGCUCACUUGCCUUUGCUGCGAUCAGAAUGAAUGAUUUCCAAUAUGAAAUUUCAUUUCUAAAAGGGUAUUACGCAACAAAAUGUAACCUAUUUUUAAAAAAAACGGCAUUUUGCAUAGCGAUGUACCGAGAACCACACAAAUACCCGUAGAGUACAAGACCAUUGACAUUAUAAUAAGAUUUGAUAGGGAUUAAAAUCAAUAUUUUAGUAGAUUUUGAUUAAAACUGAUAAAAUGUGUGGUUGAAAAGUUCUGAAUCCCACAAAAUGUGUGGUCAAAAUUAAUUAUUGACUUUGAAUUUGAUUAAAAUCUGAAUGUAUGUUUGGGCCACGUUAUUUUGAAAGAAUAUAUUCUAGAAUAAUAGAUUGAUACAGAAUGUGUAGUUAAAAAUGAGAAUAAGUUUUGAAUUUACGUGUAAUAUUAUUUUAUUGAAAAAUGUGUGACUGAAAUUAUGUCAAACUAUUUAAAAAUGUAUAUAUAUUUUUGAAGAGAAUGCGACUCAAACAUUGCCUGAAUUUUGAUUCGCACCUAGCAGGAGAUAAAGUUGGCUAUUCAUCAUAGUAAGACUAAGAGGGCGUUUGCUAGCCAUUUUUAUAUAAAAAUGCAUUUUAGAAUAGUAUAUUGAUGGAAAAUGUGUGGUUGAAAAAUAAGAAUUUUUUUAAUUUACGUGUAAUAUUAUUUUAAUAAAAAAUGUGUGAUUGAAAAGAAGAGAGAGACAAAUGCAUUUUAAAAAAAUGAGUACCAAACGGGCCUAAAAAAAGAUAGAUGGUUAUUUUGAAUUUUUAUUAGUGAAUGAAUGUCAAGGCAGCUGAGCUAUUCCGAAUACGCUCUGUGGAGCCUUUCAAAUCAAGAAUUAUUGGCUAAUGAUAAUGUGCACGCAAUUUAGCCUUGAAAAGUAGGUAAUUUGACAAUUAGUACAAGAUAAGUCGAUAAAGCAGGCUCCAGCAUUAGGCUAGCUACUCGAUUUACAGAAUUUCCUCAAUUUUUAAAAUUCACAUAUUUUUUCCAUUAUUUUUCUUAUGAAAAAAAUCCUUCAAUAAUUAAUAACAUUAAAAAAAAUUCUUAAAGAUUGCAAACAUUCUUUUGAUUAAAAAUAGUUAAAAAAUGAAUAAUAUAACAAAUUUUCAAAAUUUAAUUUACCAAGGAAAAUUUUAUCAAUACAUAAAUUAAUAAAAACAUAAAAAUUAUACACCAGCUAAAAUUUUUAUUAGAACAAAUUUAAAAAAUAAUUUACAAGUUGGUAAUAUUAUAAGGAAAUAGUAUAAAGUGAUUUUACCUUAUUUAUGAGUAUGUUAAAAAAUCAAAGUGCAUAGAUAGAGUAAAUUUUUUGGAGUGACAUAACUAACAACAUUGUUGUCAUAGUUGUCUAUGAAGGUUUAUCAAUGAUUGCCACAAGCAUCGUGUCAAUAAUUUUGUGUGAAUCGUCAACAUAUAUCAAUUUCAAUUAGAAUCACCAAUAGCUAUAUCGUCAGUAAUUAAUUACCAAUGAAGUCGACGGUGAUUUCCAACAACACCAUCGACGUUGCUAUCAAUGAUCGCUGAGGAAGUGAGUUUAUGAUUAUCAAUUAUAUUGUUGUUGGUGAUUCCGUGAGAAUAGUCAAUAGAUUUUGAUCUCAAUCAAAAUUAUAACCAUAAUACCAUUGACAAAUCAUCGACAUAAUUUUCCUCCAUGAUCAUUUGGUUCAUUAAUUUUUUUUUUCAUUAUCGCUUUAAAGAAACUCCCUCGACAAUUUUACUUUAGGGUACGUUUGAUUGAGAGUAUGGAAUUUGCAUGGAAAAAAUUUACUUUUAUUGAAUUUAUUAAUUAAAGGUAUUUAAUUGAUUUAGUUUUCAAGUUAGAAAAUAUUAUAUUUGCUCAUUUUUUAGUCGUGGGUAGAUAGAUGGGAGAGAAAUAAAAAUGAAUUCUCUGAAAAAUAAAAUCAUACUAUUAUGAAGAAAAUAUUUUCCUUGAUUUUGAGGGAUAAAUGGUCACGUGACUAAAAGUAGGAAAAUAUUUUCUAUGAAAAAUGUUAAUCAAACAGCAAAAAAAAAAGUAGAAAUUUUGGUGGAAAAAACACAAUUUUCAUGAAAAAUAUUGGCAAUCAAACGCACCCUUAGUCUUUUUAAUGUUUAGAGAAGUUCCAAGUGUUGGAAAAAAAAAAAAACAAUUAGAGCGUGUUUGAUUGCCAAUAUUUUCUAUGAAAAAUGUCAUUUUUUUCAUCUGAAUCCCUACUUUUGUGUUGUUUGAUUGAUAUUUUUCCCAGGAAAAAUAUUUUCAUAUUUUUGGUCACGCAACCACAUUUUCCUUGAAAAAGAAUAAAAAUAUUUUCUUUAGGGAAUUAGGUUUUUAUUUUCCUAGUAAUUCGUACUCUCUCUCUCAGAUCUAUCUACCAAUAAAUAAAUAUAAUAUUUUUUAAAUUGAAAAUUUUCUUUCAACAUAAAUUCCAUACUUGCAAUCGAAAAGACUCUUAAUUCCUGUGGGGAGGGGAGUUUAUGGUGCUUUUUAAGCUACUUAAUUAGAGUAAUUCAUUUUGGACACAAAACGCAAAUCAGUUACAAAACGAGACAAUUUAAAUUUCAACGGUAUGUUUUUAUCCUUUCAAGAUGUCAAUUGUCUAGGUAUGAAUUACUUCAAACGAGCUUCUGAGAUCUUAAAUGUUAUCCUGUUACCAAGUGAAUAGCGUUUUGGCAUUUGAAGUUGGCCACGUCAGCAUAGAAUGUUCUAAAAGUUCAUUUUUAUACACGUUGGACAGGAUACUACUAUGUCAAAGUGUUUUCUUAUCUAUUGUCUUUAAUUUAUGAGUGGAAUUAGUUGAAAUCUUAUGGAUUGUGGAGAACUUAGAUUCUACAAGUAUUUUGGUCGAUGAAGUUACAACUGAACAUCUUGCAGAAUGAAAACAAAAGUUGGAAUAUAUUAUGGAUCCUUCCUUUAUAAACCUGUCAACAAAUUAUACAUUUGUUUGGAAGAGAUUUUUCUUGGGGAAAAAAAUGAUUUUUUGAGAAUGUGCAGUUAAAAAUGAGGGAAAUUUAUUGGGCCACGUGGAAAAUAAUUUUUCUUUUUUGGAGAAUGUGUUGUUGAAAUAGUUUGGAAAAAAAUUAUUUUUGAAAAAUCUCUUCCAGACAAGCUCUAUUAAUUAAGCUAGGCUUAGUUCAUGUUUAUAUUGGCUUAAUAAAUAGAUAAAAAUGAGUGGCGGAGAUUUUUGUGUGCUCUACGGAAUGUGUGGACAAUAAGUGAGUAGUAUUUGUGAGUAAUUGUGGUCAUAGGAAAUGUAUGGUUAAAAUUAAAGUUUAACCAACUUAAAUUAUUAGUCGCGCUAACCCAAACAUGCACUUAAUUUGUUUGUGGGACUUCUCUGUCUUCCCUCAGAUGGCGCACCUUUACUAAUUUGGUAUUUGACUGUAGUUCAUUUGCAUGGCAAGGUGUGGAUAGUCCAUGGACCUUGUUGUGAAAUGUCAGAAGGGCUAUGUUGGAAUUAUUUGUGCUAAAGACGACUUAGACGAGGAGCAAAAAUAAUAACAUAGCUCCUUGCAUCUAUUUCGUAUCAAAUGUUCUGUUUUCACAUAUUGUUGUCGUGUUCACUUUGUUUAGCCCUAGGAAUCUAUAGGUGGGCCCAGCAGUAUGAAACUGCUGUCACGAUGCAUGCGAUAAAAAGGUAUACAUGGAUAUCAUACAAGCAUGAAAGUAGUCCAUCUUCGAGCUUGAGUAGAAUAAUUGUCUUAUAUUCCACAACACACUAGAUGUCAUAUUAAUGGAAUACGGUUCACUUUUAAGACUUCUUUGCAACUUGGACGAACUAUCUAUUAUUCAGUCAAAAAGUUAUGGAACGUUCU